rnacentral:lncRNA from 1 species
UGUUUGAUUGUUCCCAACUUUGUCGCAAUUGAUUGUCAUCUUGUAAAGCUACUUGUAGAAGUAACAAAUAAAACUGUUUAGCACAUGGUUCACAGUACUGCUUUGGUACCCAUACCAGUACUGUACUAGUACACUGUCGAUAUGGCUUGGUUCAUGGUGCUGAUACUCAAUAUGGCUCCUGACCAAGUAUUACUUUACUACAAGUAUGAUACCGGUAUGGUAUGGUAUGCUCGGUAUAGUAUGAUACUAACUGAUAUGGCAAACCUUGAUAUAAUAAUUCUAUUUUGCUGGCAGUUUUGGACUAUAUUCUGUUAAAUAUUUGUGAACAUGAGAUACAUAAUAUGUGAAUCGAUCUUGUGAUGUGUUUCAGGCUGCGGCAAUUAGGUUGGAAAUCAGAGGUGGUCGGUGGAGAGAUGCUUACAUGCAAAUGGAUGGGGAGCCAUGGAAACAACCAAUGAGUACAGAGUAUUCAAGUUUCGUGGAAAUAAAAAGGGUGCCAUUUCAGUCACUUGUAAUAAAUGGCGAGUGAUUACAAUGAUUUAUUGGAUAAGGUACAUAUCUAAAGCAUGCAGUGAGAUAGCAAAAAUGCAUGCAGGCUUUACUGUCACUGGAUGGUCAGUUAUUUCAUUUCAUUUUAUUUACUUAUGGUCUCAUACAGAAUUACUGCUGAGGGAAACUAUUUGUGAGGCAUGCUUAGUGUUUUAAUUGGCUCAGGUCCAUAGUUUCUUGUUUCAUAUAGGUGGACUGUAAUAUCUAAGUUUAGCUUUUGGCAUCAUUGAUGUUUGCCCUUCCACUUAAAUAAUCAAGUAGGAAUUAUAUCCCUUUUUUUUUUCUUUUACAUUUUACUCCAUUUGCAGAAUCUAUAUGGAGUCACUUGGAAACUUUUUGACUAAAUACCGAUGUUCUACCAUCUUGCAUUUACUUUGUUUGUAGUGUACCUGGGCAAAUACUGAAGCUUAGAUCGUCAAAUAGCUUAAUUUUCAUAUGCAGUUUCUUUAAAUCAACAUUUGCAAGAUCCUUUUAUUUCUCUUUCUGUUAGGGAACUUAGCUCAGAGGGUGGCAUCUUUAAAGCAGGAAAAGUUCAUUUGGAGGAAUGCACUCUCUCUCCACUUACUUCCUGCUGCCCCUUGAGUUUGGACAGAGAGUGGACAAGUAGAUGGCUACAUGUCUGUCUAUAUCUUGCUUUCCACCCAUUCAUAUAAUUAAUCUUUAACCAGUCUGAACCAAAGGGUUUGAUAUAAUGGAGAAGUGGCUCAUAAAACUUUCACACUGAAGGUGAAAUUUACUAAGACUUCAGUAAUAUAACAUCUAUUGAAGGGGACAUGCUAUACAUUCCUCAGAAAGAAGCAGAAUCAUUGCGGUGGAGAGCUGUUCCUUCCAUUCUUGAAAAUUUAGCCGAGUAGCAUGAAAUGGUGUCCCUGAAGGCGAGUGGUUAUUGGGUUAAUUAAUAAAUGUUUUGACCUUUUUUUUUGACUUUGCUAGCUGUUUAUCUGCUUCACCAAUUGGAGAAGCAUAAUUGUAGCACACGUCUUCUCUGAUGUUUGGAUCAAAAAGAAAAAUCUACAACUUUACCGGAAGGGUUAUGGCAUGCUUGUUUUUAUUAGUUGUGUCCAUCAGUUAGAAAAGUAAGCUCUGGAUAUUUCCUAUAGCUAUCGUAUCAUCAAUGUUCUCUAUGAUUAUAGAUUACUUUCUAAUCAAUCAUUAGUCUGUAUAUACACUGCCCCAUAGUUGUCACUGUGGGACCCUAGCCUGGUGCUCCUUGGGAGGGAACUGGAUGGCUGUUAUCAGUGCUCACUUGGAUCAGAUUUUUUUCAGUGAUUGCAAGAUGCAAAGGAUUACAUUGACCUGCAUUGUCCAUGGUUUUUGCUAGUUUCCGAUUCAUUUUUGGGUGGCUAGUACAGGUCUUGACCUGAUCAUGGCCAUGCUAAUUGUUUAGCUGCUUUGCUUGUCAUUUAAAUAAUCCUUCCUCUACUAUCUUAUGCAGAAAAGACUAAAAAAUAUAUGUUAUUAUUCUUUAUGUUGCAUGUAACAGUUGGAGAAGCACCGAGGACUUCCAAAAGGCCAUCUCAUCAUUGAAGGAACUCAACCAAACUUUACAGUCUAUCAGUUAUUUCUGGUCGUUCAUUGGCGUGUUUAUAUAUUGUCAUGUGAUUGUCGCAACGAGUGGCUGCUAUUGGAAGUUUUCCCAUAAUUAGAUGCUUUACUUUCCCUUGAAGGUAGCUGCAGAUUAUGACCUGCUUGUGAUGUAUCAUUUGUUUACUCGGCUUUCUGUUGUGAGUAAGAGGGAGACAGGUUGGGCAAGAAACUUCCCUGUUCUUCCACUUUUUUGGAUUAGCAGCUCAGCACUAACACAGCCUCUCUAUUUUAAUCCCAGCAAACAGAGUCUUGCUAANNNNNNNNNNGCACGUCUUUUAAAAAUUCUAUCGUUUUCAUUGAGGGCUACUUUGUUUGGAUGGAACAAGAAAGUAUACGUGGUGAGGUGCACUAUGGUAUAAACAGAGGUCACAUGCAAUCAUCAUAUAGCCUGCCCUAAAAGUUGUAGGUGUGUGAUUUUUGAAACAUUGAACACUUUUCGACCGUACAUUAUAAUUGCUGGUUUUGUUAAUUUUAUAUUGCUGCAUUAUCACCACAUUCUCAUCCAUAUGAUAGUGAUUUCUGUAGUGGGCUCAUAUAACAAUCUGCAACUCAAACUAAGUCCCAGUUCCUGAUUCUUCUUUGUACUUGUAUCCACAAUAUCUGAACCAAUUUAGUGUUUGUUUAUCUUUGCUCUGUGAGACAUCAUGUCCUGAUAUAAAUGUUGCAGAUUCAAGAGGGGCGAACUACUACAACAAAUUGUCCUAUGAUUCGAGGUAGUUGUUAAGAACUUCUAUUGUUACGUAUGCCAGGCUAUGGAGACAGUUGUAGUUCAAAGUUUUGUGACUGCAUCUUUUUUUUAGUAGAUGGUGGUUUCAAAAUUUCAAUAUCAAGAAAACUUGGCAAGUUGCUUUUUCGGACACCAUAGUCUUUUAUGACCUUAGAACAAGGGAAAAAUUAAACCAUUUUCUUGUAACACCUGAUAUUACUAGUGAAUAUGGACUGGACAUUAAGAAAUUUGCAAUUUGGUCUCCCAUUGUCGAGUCAAAUGUCUCAACCUGUUUCCCCGGCAUUUUCCAAGGCUCUAUUUUCUCGCUAAUAAAGUCAAAGAAAAAUGAAGCAAAACAAUAGGAUAAAAGAGGGGGAAAAAUAAAAUCAAAAUUCUAUUUUGUUUGAUUGAAUUUAACGGAGUAUUCUAAUGUAAACAAUUGGAUAAACAGUGGUUCAGACAAGAGUGAGUUGUUUUUGUUUAACUAAAGCAAUGAAACGCGUCUAGGUUUUAAAGUUUACAGGUUUAUGUAACUCUCAUAGCAUACACAUGAUAGCUUGGUGGCAACUUUUUUAUCAUGUUCUGCAAAGAAAAAAAUAUAUACAUGUUAGUUGAAUAUUAUGUACUCAUCUAGUUCGUAGAAAGAAUUUAUCUUUACUAAAAUAUUUUUUCAGAGAAGCACGAGCAAAUAGUUUUUACGUGUUUGAUUGAUACGAGAAAGUAGCACAUUAUAGAAUGGCUUAUAUUUAGUUGAGCAUCUAUUUUUUAAUAUAUAUAUAUAUAAUAUCUAUUAUAUUUUUAAUAAAAAAAUUAGCUUUCCUAUCCAAAAGCUCAACAAUAUUUUUGAAAAAAAAAUAAUUCUAACUCUUUAGACUAUUUUGUGUCUCAUAUAUUUUUAUGUAAAAUAUAAAAAUUUUAUUUCUAUAAAAAAUUAUUUUAUUAUUUUUUUAAAAAAAUAAUUAGUAUUUUUUUAUUUUCUUGCUGACCAUAUUUUUCUUUCUGCCCCUACAUUUAUUCUUUUUUUGACGUCCCAUCUCCCGGACAACCUAACCAUUGAUGUGUGAUAUGACAGACUAGUAGUGGCUUCUAAACCCAGGUUUAUUUCCUCAAAGUACUCAUUCCACUUGAUUGCCAUCUGAGACUUUUGGUGGUGGCCAGGGUGUCGCCUAAGAUGGAGGCAACCAAAGCCCGGAACGGUGUUGCCCAUUUCCAUGCCUUCAGCCAAAGUAACAGUUCCUACGAAUGGGCACGCCCAAAUGCCAUCUCCAACUCCGAGAUUCAACUUUAAACCUAAGUCCUAAUACUAGGUUGUGCCCGGCUGCGGCCAUCCUUAUCCAACACAAACAGGAGAAAGGCAUCCCAAGAUUGUGACAGCUCCAAGUCUUCUUCUCUUCUCUUGUCUGUUGCCACGCUUUGAUCCCGUGAUGAUCCAAAUGGAGCCCUCACCUCGUAGGCGGCUCCGGAAUUUGGGGUGCCCUUGUUUCCACGUCCCUCGAUCCCAUAAAAAGCUGGAACCUUUCCCUCUUCCGUUAUGCAUGCGACAACCUUUGAAGCGACACCUUAUAAGUCUUUUAUAGAAAUUUUCCUAUAAUGAGGCAUCCACUUUCCUCGAAUACUGUAUUUGGGGAUUGCCACCUAGAGGUCAGAUUGCGUGCAUGCAUGCAUGCACCAUGCAUUUCACCCCCGGUACAAGUUCACGGGUACAAAAAGGGUUUAUUUAUUAUUUUUUUUGCCACAUCACAAGUCCACAAUUUGUAAGAAUUUAAUUAAGAUGGAAGCACUCCAAAUAAAAAUAUAAAAUAAUAAAAAGAAACAAAAGACUUUUUUUUGUCACGAAAGAAAGUCUGAUCCAUGACUAGAGUUUUUUGUUAGGCCUCCAGCAGAUUUUUGUAUUUAUACAGGGACAAAAUAUGUAAUUAUUAUAUUUUAUUAUGUGUAUUUUGGUCAAAAAAAAGCUUUUCGGAAAGCUCCAAAGUGGAGUUUCUUCCCAAAAGUUGUUUUUAACUUUCUGAAAAAGCUAAAACAACUUUCUGAAAUUUUUACCAAACAUCCUUUUUUUUCCAGAAAUGCUUUUUGCCUCGCCUCUGAGCAUGGGCAAUUUUAAGCUUAUGGCGCACAUAAACUCAUGAUCACUGGUUUUGCAGCUAUUUAACAAUCAAGACACAUUGACUAAAUAUUGAAUUGUUGAUCCUUUAUUUUCAGUCCAUGAUCUGUGUCCCGAGAACAAGAAUAAAUGUGGGCAAGCGUGUAAAAUAAGCACAUUUGCAUAACAAAUAAGGCGGAAGCAUAUGCAAAAUUGAAUCAAAGAUGAAAAUGAAACAUUGCUAUAUUCUCAUCCUUUAUUGGCUAUAGAAUGAGAUGUUGAAAAUUGACAUCCACAAUUUUUUGGAGUAAAAACUAACAUCCACAUUAUGACAUGCAUUUGCUUUCUAAUUGUAGGUUUACAUUAUCACUUUCCAAUGAUUUACAACAGUCCUUCAACAAACUGCUUUUGCUCAUUAGUUACUGCAGUAACCUGCAUAGGCAUAUGGAUUAUAUAUGAGUGUAAUUGAGCCGAGCCGAGUUGAAUAGUUAGAGGCUCCAGCUCGACUUCAUUCAAAAGGCUCAGGCUCAAAACUCAACUCGAGAUCAAUCAAAUUUUAAUAUCCAAGCUCGAAGUCGACUUGAUCAAAAAAAUAAUAUUCGAGAUCAGCUUGACUCGACUCAACCAAAACAAAAGUAAUACUUGAGAUCAUCUUGACUCGACUUGAAUAUCAACCAAACUAUACUCAAGCUUGAGUUUGAGCCUUAAUCAUAAUUAAAAAAUAUAUUUAAACAUAAUAUAAUAUAAUAUAAUAUUUUAAAAUAUUAAAUUAAUAAUAUAUAUAUAUUAUAAAAUAUAAUAUUAUAUAUAUGAGGAUUGAUAACCUACUCUCUAUUAUGGUAGGUUAUCAAUCUACCCAUUUUUCAUUGGACAAAAAUACCCUUACUUUUUAUAACUCUUAAGGAUAUUUUAUGUCUUUUUACAAUCCCACAUUUAACUCACCCUCUCAACCUCCCAAUUAAUACUUUCUUCCUCUCUCUCUCCUAUAUACAUACAUACAUGCAUGCAUACAUACAUACAUAUACAUACAUACAUACAUACAUACAUACAUACAUACAUANNNNNNNNNNNNNNNNNNNNUGCUGGCACACACCACAUUCUAUUGUUUCAGACCCCGAGGCUGGAACUUGAACCUGCAAAACAACUUGUAUCAUAUAAUUCGGGCCAAACAGCAUGCGGAAACAGUGCGCAAAAUAAUCAAGAGAAUAAGAGAAGGGGAAGAGAAAGGGGCGGGGACCUAGCGCCCUAGGUGCCUGACCUGAAGAUGGACUGUGCAGGUGGGACAUGCAACUUCCCUCAUCUGCCUUGCAGAACCAUCAGAGGACUUCGAACCUACAAAAUAACUAACUGUUAAAUUUGGUGCAAAAUGUACAAUAUGAACCAUCAGAGGACUUCCAAUAUCUCAUGCAUACGGGCAAACAACAUGUCAUCAUACCAUUAAUCAGGGAAUUUUAUAGAUAAAUACAGUCACACAUAGCAAGAAAAAGGUCUCUAUUAGGACACGUUAGCCACUUACAUUCAGAAGGGAAGAAUCGGGCAUUGGCCAUUUCGCAGGUGGGUCCUCGUCCGGAGGCUCGAGUGGGUGAUCUACCGGCUUGAACCCUGCAUNNNNNNNNNNNNNNNNNNNNNNNNNNNNNNNNNNNNNNNNNNNNNNNNNNNNNNNNNNNNNNNNNNNNNNNNNNNNNNNNNNNNNNNNNNNNNNNNNNNNNNNNNNNNNNNNNNNNNNNNNNNNNNNNNNNNNNNNNNNNNNNNNNNNNNNNNNNNNNNNNNNNNNNNNNNNNNNNNNNNNNNNNNNNNNNNNNNNNNNNNNNNNNNNNNNNNNNNNNNNNNNNNNNNNNNNNNNNNNNNNNNNNNNNNNNNNNNNNNNNNNNNNNNNNNNNNNNNNNNNNNNNNNNNNNNNNNNNNNNNNNNNNNNNNNNNNNNNNNNNNNNNNNNNNNNNNNNNNNNNNNNNNNNNNNNNNNNNNNNNNNNNNNNNNNNNNNNNNNNNNNNNNNNNNNNNNNNNNNNNNNNNNNNNNNNNNNNNNNNNNNNNNNNNNNNNNNNNNNNNNNNNNNNNNNNNNNNNNNNNNNNNNNNNNNNNNNNNNNNNNNNNNNNNNNNNNNNNNNNNNNNNNNNNNNNNNNNNNNNNNNNNNNNNNNNNNNNNNNNNNNNNNNNNNNNNNNNNNNNNNNNNNNNNNNNNNNNNNNNNNNNNNNNNNNNNNNNNNNNNNNNNNNNNNNNNNNNNNNNNNNNNNNNNNNNNNNNNNNNNNNNNNNNNNNNNNNNNNNNNNNNNNNNNNNNNNNNNNNNNNNNNNNNNNNNNNNNNNNNNNNNNNNNNNNNNNNNNNNNNNNNNNNNNNNNNNNNNNNNNNNNNNNNNNNNNNNNNNNNNNNNNNNNNNNNNNNNNNNNNNNNNNNNNNNNNNNNNNNNNNNNNNNNNNNNNNNNNNNNNNNAUAUAUAUAUAUAUUCGAUUAAGUUUGUGAGUUUUUAACUCGAAUAUUUUGCGAUUCGAGCCCGCUAAUAAUUGGAUGGAGUCGAGUUUGGGACUGCAUGGCUCAUUUGCAUUUCAUGCGGGUUUAAUUAGGAUAGCGGAUUUUGAUUAGAGCAGUACGUGCGGGGCCUGAAAUGACUGGUGGUAAAUUUAUUGUGCCCGAUGAACCAACUGACACCCACAUUUAUAUUUAAAUUUCCAUGGAUCUAUUCUGCAUCGGGUCAAGUGACAGUGCUACCCUAUCGAGGGGGGUCUUCGUUCAGUGGGCUGCAGCUUAUGUACAGAGAUGGUAUAGAUGAUUUUAUUACUAGAGCUCGCAAAUCCCUAUAAGAAUCGCCCGUUGCAAGGCAAAGGUCUUGGAAGGUGAGUGACGAGAGAAAAAGAUUUUUGAAGCUGUACCAACGCUUGGCCGCCUGCAAAACCAUAAGUUUAGGUCAAAAUAUGGGGUUCUUCAGGUCGAGGGUAUCUUUUGACUGUGUGCAUUUGGCGUAAUUUGUUUUCUAACCCCUCAAAAUACCUUCCUGAACUACGUGCCCUUCUCUUAGGACCCCUUUUUUUUAUCAGCCAAAUAAGAGCACGACUGCCAAGAACACUUAAACUACUGCUGGAUUCUCCUACGGUCCAUGGCUAAGAAGUCCCAAACCAGUUCUGCUGCUUUGAGGAAAGCGUCCCACUCCAUUUAACUCAGCUCAAGCUGUCCGAGGUUUGAGACUCGAGAGAAGACAAGGUGGUGCAAGUUGUACUAAGAUGCCAAAGUCUUAAGAUCCCUUGUGCUACGAUCAACUGAAAUGGUUCGUGCAUGCAUGCAACCCAUGGACCUAUAUAUCUUGUGGAGACCGAGAUGCUUCAUUUUCUCCUGUUCUUACACUUGUUCAUAGACCCCAUGCAUCCUACUUCCAAUCAUCCAUCUCUUUCAGCCCCCGUGUGAAUGAGAAGACGCGCAGAUAUACAGGUUUGGAGUCCGAGGUGGUUGUGUUGAAGUUGAAAACUGCUCAUUUAAGUACUCUAGAUCAAGUUCAGCAGUGUAGUCACCUGGCCUCUAUGAUCACUCCCUAUAGGCAUAGCAUGGCGUAACCUUUUCUUUUUUCCCCACUAGACUGGAGACCACAAUCUAAAAUAUGACUAGGUGAUACGGCUAGUUGGUCACAUGUUAAGGUUACAGAUGUCACCGGAUGCAUGUUCAAUGAACCUUGCAUACUUGCUUGUCGUUCUUGUAAAUGCGUGCAAGCAAAUGACAGAGUCUACUCUUGUCUUUCCUGGAGAUGCUGCGGCUAUUUCAUAGUAAUUUUCUCGAACAACUUGGAAUUAUCAUACCAUUAAGGAUUCUAUCACGUACCUAUCAUACAAUUAUGGCGUGUUGCACAUCCAACUUUUAAGAAUAACAAGUUGAUGGUGCACAACAAUAUAUACUUCUGGCGUUUUAAUGUCCUCUCAAAUCAUUAGGACUUAAGACUAUUAUCAUGCAAGCAAGAUUAAAUGCCUUUCUGCAUGCAGGCGCUCCUCUAAGACUAAGCAUGACCAUCAACUUUUGGAGUUGAGUUAUCCUUGUAGAAUAAAGUUUGGAGGAUGUAUAGGAUAUAAUUUCAUGUUUAUAGGAGCUUGCAAAGGGACCAACAAAUACUGAUCAGAAGUUAUGGAAUCCACUAAUUAUGGAUUGCUUGGUUGCCCACUUGGCAAUACAAUGGGCCUCAACAAAGUAGUGUCUCUGGACUACAAGUGGGUAUUAUGUUUUUAAACUUGAUGAUGUUUGAGUUUAGUCCACUAGAUUUUAUUUUAAAGUAUGGACCAGAAAAAAAUGUUGAUAAUUUAAUUUCGAUCUUACGCAACACGACAAAUACGUUUAGGAAUCUACACAAUUUUUUAACAAUAAUGAUCAACUCUACUUAAUUUGUAUACUCAUUUGCAAUCUAUCACAUGCAUUGCAACACCAUAUACGUUUCUUACAUGGUGCAAACUCCUUGGAUUUUUAACACAACCGUUCCCUCCAUUGUAUACUCUCCAUGCAACUACAUAAUCUCACUACAAAACUAAUUAAGAACCUCAGCCACCUGCCCCUACUAAGUAGGGUAGGCGAGCUCAUUUCUAAUAUUAUAUUUCUGUCCUAUAUUUGAUACAACGCUAUCCUAUAACUAAAGAUUUUCGGUGCCAAAUUGCUGGUACGACGAUUGCGUUUAAUUCUUUUUUUUAUUUUUCUUUUGUCUUUGGCUGAGCCACAUGUGAUGCAUGCAUAGUCUGAUGGGUAGUCAAGUGGUCCAACUCUCGGCCCGGCCCUUUAGAUGUCGGGCCCACUCUCAGUGACUUGGACAUGACCAUUGACCGAUGACUUGGACCACAACCUUAAUAAACGUCACCAGAAACGAUUAGAUUUUCUUUUUUUUUCUUCUUCUUCUUAAAGAACGAUUGAAGGUUAAAGAAUGGCUUCUAAUUAAACAUCUUUUCUUCCAAGUGGCUUUAGUUGUCUUCUAAAAGAAGAAAUUAUUAAAUGGAUCCACCAUAGAACUAGGGUGAAAUGAAUCUACAUAAUAAUUUCAUCCAAGAAUGAAAUCAAUUUACUAGGAUGCUCGGUUCAUGUUGGACGUGCACUAUUUAAUUAAUAAUUUCAACUUCUUCUUUUCGGAAAGGGAGGAUUAGGAAAAUCCUAUUGAUUGCUGCUUUAUCCAGACCUCCGGGAAAAGCAUGAAAAAGAAAAGACACUUUUAGGGAUAUAGAUGGAGUCUGCGAUGCUGCUAAGCUUCUCACCCUUGGAAGAAUUUUUUUCUUCCCGUAACCGACUUGACUUUCUGCCCAAGGAAGAAAGAAUUUCGUUGCCUUUAAUCUAUCUUGAGCUCGAGUAAAUAGCUCUACGAACGAAUGGAUCAGAUCGAAAAUGGAAAGAUUUGUACAAGUUAACUUCAUUAUUUGAGUGAAAGGGGGUUAUAGGGGAAAGAGGAUUUUCUUUUUGAUGGAAGUCAGUUUGGCACUACAAGAAAAUUCAUCUUUCCCGACGCUUUUUAGAAUCUUUACCGACGCUUAUAAGCGUCGGCUAAAGUUCCUGAAACAGAAGCGUCGCAAAAGCGUCGGCGAUACCGGAGUGGCAAAAGUUUUUGCCGACGCUAUGAGAAAGUGUCGGCCAAAACAGAGAUUUCCCGACGCUAAUAAAAGCGUCGGCAAAAACCACAUUCCCCGACGCUUUAAAGCGUCAGAAAAGGCCAAAGGAUGCCCAGUAAACCUUGCUUUUUUCUAUCUAUUUACCAACGCUUUAAAGCGUCGGGAUUGCUAAUUUUUUUAAAAAAAUAAAAAUACGAAUGUAAAUUAUAAUAUGAACCUGCAUGCACAUGCAAAUCAUUUCUAAUUAUAAUAUGAACCCACUUAACACACUUGACGAUCCCAAAUAUGCCUGCUCAAAGAAGAUUCAUAUACAAAGAACCACCAAGUCUAAUGAGUAAAACAUGACCAUAUUAAUGAAUAUACAAAGCCGGUAACCGAGCCUAUUAGCUGUGACACAGAAAAUUUCCUGAAGCUCAGUCGGAUGCAUUACCACGAUGUGAUAAAAUCAGAAGACAUCAAUGAGCACCAACCAGGAAUGGGCGCUGGCACACACCACAUUCUAUUGUUUUAGACCCCGAGGCUGGAACUUGAACCUGCAAAACAACUUGUAUCAUAUAAUUCGGGCCAAACAGCAUGCGGAAACAGUGCGCAAAAUAAUCAAGAGAAUGAGAGAAGGGGAAGAGAAAGGGGCGGGGAACCUAGCGCCCUAGGUGCCUGACCUGAAGAUGGACUGUGNNNNNNNNNNNNNNNNNNNNNNNNNNNNNNNNNNNNNNNNNNNNNNNNNNNNNNNNNNNNNNNNNNNNNNNNNNNNNNNNNNNNNNNNNNNNNNNNNNNNNNNNNNNNNNNNNNNNNNNNNNNNNNNNNNNNNNNNNNGGGCAAACAACAUGUCAUCAUACCAUAAAUCAGGGAAUUUUAUAGAUAAAUACAGUCACACAUAGCAAGAAAAAGGUCUCUAUUAGGACACGUUAGCCACUUACAUUCAGAAGGGAAGAAUCGGGCAUUGGCCAUUUCGCAGGUGGGUCCUCGUCCGGAGGCUCGAGUGGGUGAUCUACCGGCUUGAACCCUGCAUGGAUCUCCACCACCACAUCGUCUUCUUCCCUCCCAGCAUCACCAUGGACAUCGAUUUCAUUGGUCCCGGCUUCCUCUGCAACCUGCCCUUCCUUCUUGUCCUGAAACUCACAACAAACCCAAAGCAGACUAAGAAAACCCAUUUCUAUCACUACAAAUUCACUAGGAAAAACAUCAAAUGACAAGAUAAUAGAAGUCAACAACCCCAAAAGGGAUCUCUUACUAAACCAUCCUCACACGGAUGCCCCAUCUACACAAGCUACCAGCUUCAUCAAAGCUCAAAGAAGUGAGAAGGGAAAGCACCAUUUCUGUGCAGAGAACUGAUCAGAACAUUGGAGCUCUACAUCUGCACCAUUUCUGUGCUUAUUAACUUGUGAGAUUUGUUCUUUAACCAAACAAGCAAAAAUUAGGAAGAGCAAAAAUUACUUACCAAAAGUGCAGGUGUGGGAGCAGUUUCAGGUUCAAAUGUGGUACAGAAGAAAAUGAUACCUCCAGCAAUUCCACGGAGCUUGAAGAUUCGACGGUAGAGGGGCAACUGUCCACCCUCGAAGCCCUUAUGGACGUCGGGCCUUCUCCUGACUGGCGGCGGAGAGCUGCAGAAGGCAGAGGAUGGCUGGGGUGCGGGCGGCGGCGAGGGCGCGGAGGCAGGGGAGGGCCUCGAUGAUGCCGCCAGAGCCGUGCUCCAUGUCGACGACCACGUAGUCGUAGCCGGCGAGGCCGGCGAUCUCGGCGAGGGUCGGGGNNNNNNNNNNNNNNNNNNNNNNNNNNNNNNNNNNNNNNNNNNNNNNNNNNNNNNNNNNNNNNNNNNNNNNNNNNNNNNNNNNNNNNNNNNNNNNNNNNNNNNNNNNNNNNNNNNNNNNNNNNNNNACAUCAUCGCCGGAGCCGUUCUGCUUCUUGAAUCCGGAGGGGGUUAGGGAGGGGGGCGAUGAUGAUGAGAAGGCACCUUUGAUGGGUUAGAGAGAGAGAGAAGGCGAGGAAUGGGCGAGAGAGAUGUGGGUAAUACUACUAGUUAAAUAGAGAGAGGAGGGUGGUGGCCGGGAAAACGGAAACCCGGAGAGAGGAGGGAGGAGGGAUGAGAGAGAUGAGGCUUGAAGGUAGAGAGUGAGAGACUGGUGUGUGAGGGUGGCUUCCGACGGGGAUGGUCAGAAGAGGGUUGGGAUGUAGCCUGGUGCAUUGGCUUCCGACGACGCUUUUUUAGCGUCGUCUUAGGUCCGAGACUGCACCGACGCUUAUUAGCGUCGUCUUUUGCCGACGCUUUUUACAAGCGUCGGCAAAUUUUGACAAUAGACCGAAAAUUGCCCACGCUUGUAAAAAGCGUCGGUAAAACCGACUUUUCCUGUAGUGUAAGAAUUUCUUUUGUUAGAAAAAGUAGCGAAAUCACCCUAUCAAAUGCUUUAACACAGAACGGCAUAAAUUCGAAAAACAGACUUAUUCAGUCAAUUCCAUUACAUCAAAUUGAUAGAAUAGAAUUAUCUUAUAGAAUGAAGGAAAGUUAUCCCUUCCAAUUACGAUUUUAUCUCUAAUCAAUUUUUCAAAUACACCAAAAAAUGAAAGAGUGAUUUUAUUCUUGUCAUAAAAUCGAAAUCAUAUUGAAAACCGACGUGCUCUAUGACUCACUACUUAUCUCUCUAAUCAACCAUCAAAAAAGAAACUUAUUCUCCAGAUCAUAAACUACCCCUCCAACGGAAGAGGGGAUAACGCUCCAAAAAUUAUCCCUUCUACUAAAUCCAGCCUAUCCCACAUGCAUGCAGACCAUACGUACCGAAGAGCCACUUCAUGAGCCAAUUAUGUCCGAAGGUAUCUAAACAUGCUCGAUGAAAGGAAGACGCCUUCUCUUAAUGUUGUUAUGCUUGCAUGAUGGUGAGUUAUUCCACCAACAUAUCCGGGUGGUCAGUAAUCAGCAAGGGAUUUGUUUUGUGAUUUUGUUUUAACUAAUUCUAAGUUAGUGCAGCUCACCUGUUUUAUUCAUUUAAGACUAACGGGCAUUGUAUUUUUUUAAACAAAAAGAUCAAUAAUAACUUUUCUAAGUUGACCUAAUAAUUAUAAUAUUCAUUCUAAUUUAUAUACUAUUAAUCGUCUAGCAAAAACAUUUCAUUCAUUUUCUUAAUUAUUUGAUUGCUAGAGAGAGAGGAAGAAAUAAUCACUCAACCUCACGUGAAUUACCAAAGGAGCAGUCAUUUGCUAGCUCCUUUAACAUUUGAAUUACCAAAGUGGAAAUAAAUAUCUCUCUUGCAGCUGAAUUCGUCAAAUGUUGGCCCCUUUCAUCGAGCAUUCGCAAAAUAAUCAGAAGAAGCUUAUCUUCAAUUUUAUGAUCUCAAGUGAUUAUAUGUAUAUACACACAAAGAAUAUGAUCAAGUCUGCAUGAGGAAGAGAAUGGUCUUUUAUAUGAAAAGGCAACUACUCUCGGCCCCAGGAGUUUGAUUUUGACCGAAUCCUAUGAAUCACUUGCGCAAAGUUAUACAUUAUCAGCCAUCCAAACCUUAAUUUGUCUUUGCCUCAAGCACCCCUCGAGAAAGACUCUCAGCUACUUACGAACUUAGACACCAGCUCUCAGAUUAGAGAAGUAGAAAUGAGAUUGGCAAACUUCCACAAAGAUCUAACUCAAAAGUGCUUAAAUUUUUCUACUUCACUGCAUAUAUACAUAGGGACUCGAUGCCUUCUCCGUCGAUAUGUCAUUCUAUGUUUUAUGCGGCGAAUCAUACGGGGUGUGGACUGCUGAUAUUCCUUCUGAUUUGUUAAAUAUUUUAUUUUCAGAUUCCCAUGGAUAUAUUUAUAAUAUAUUGGUAUAAUAAAUCCGACUUUUACAAAGAAAAAGGGCCGCGCGUCUUCUAAUAUUUUACAUCAAGGUUCUACAUGAGGCAUUCAUUUUAAGUUCCAAAAAAUGUCCAGGGAGUAUCUGGACGUCCUAGUGAUCUCUGGUUCUCCUUCCAUUUCGAGAAGCAUAUAUGCGUCCUCGAUCAGCCUUUCUUCUUGUCGAUUUCUAAUGUGAAAUAUUUGCUAGCCUUUUGGGAAAGCCUGCUGCUGCCCAAGCAUGACAGUCUCUAGAGGUUAGAUUGCUGCCACACAUACAAAAGAUCCCAUUAACUUCAUGGGGUGCUUAUCUAAAUGUUCCAAGAUCCAAUGGACAAAGCUGAAUUGGGUUUGUGAAACUGAAGAUAUACUGCUGCAUCUCGAUCCAUCAUCUAACUCUCCCUGCUAAAUGUCAUCAAUGAAAGCUUGGUGAAUUUAGUAGGUCCUAAUGGGUGAAUAUAUGGAGGCUCGAUGGUGGCAUGCAUGCAUGUUGAGCUUUCACCCGGCUUAAUCAUUUGCCGUUGAGGCAGUGCAAGGUUGGCUUGAGCUGUACCGUUGCACCAGUGGCUUCAGCUAGCUGCCAUAUAUAUAUAUAAAUCAGCUUACAGAUAGAAAUUUAUACAUUUUGUAAUGAACAGUAGAAAGUCAUGCGCCUCUAGAGAUGGGAAGGACCCUACUUCUUUCAACUUUAAAUGUGGAGAGCCAUUGUCUUUUGUUUCCAUGAAAUAAAAUAGUCGCGUUUUGGUAUGUGGUGGACAAGGAUGCAUGCAGCUUCUUUUUCCCCACCAAUAAAGGCAGGAGGACUCCCACCAAAAAAAUUAAAUUAAAAAGAAAAAAAAGAGAGAGUGGCCCUAGUUUUGAGCCCAUAUUUAUUUUGUUAGCAAGGGAAAUACGUGAUUAGAUCUGCCCACAUCUUCAAACUUCUUUUCCACUUCCACUUCCACUUCCCCUUCUAUUAUGACUACUUUUCUGUGCAUCUUAAUUCCCAAAGCAGCUGCUUUAUGAACUCUAGUUAUUGGAGGGAGAUCGAUCUUAUUUCAGGUAGAUCAGGUUACCUGGACAGUGCACUGUUUUUAAGCAUUUACAGGUUUAAUCAUAGUACUUUGUUAUCAACCGAUUGAAUUGUUCUGUGCCAAGUUGGUGGGCUAUGCAAGAAAGGAACCUAAUAUAAGUACGCUAAUCAUUUGUGACAAUCUAGUGAUAAAGUAACCAUGGGUAUGGAUUGAGCUCCACAGGUAGUGAAAAUAAGAACUAAAUCUAGGAAUCCUUUGGUUGUUUGCAAUUGCAGUUGGCUAUAAAUGAAUUGCAGACACCUAAAACGAGUGUUUGGAUGCCUGUAAUUAUAACUGAAGGUUGCAUUUCAACUGCAAAAAACAGCCUCAAAAUUAAUUUGUACUUGGAACUGCAACCAAAAUUUGUUGUAGUUCCAACUACAAAGAAUCUUAUAGCUAGAAUGCGGAUCUCUGAUUACCAGUCCAACUGAUGAUGCACUUGUAAUUGAAGUAAUAUUUGUAUAAUAUCAUUGCUAAAUUAAUAUUAUAAUAUUAUACCAUUAUUAUUAAAAUAGUAAUAAUUAAUAUAAUAAUAUUAUUGUAUUAAAUAGUACUAUAAUAAUAUUAUAUAAUUAGUAUCAGAUUGUUAUAAUAGCAAUAUCAUAUUAAUAGUAGUACUAUUAUAUUAUACUAUUAUUUAUUAUAAUAAUAUUUAGUUUUAUAUUAUGAUAUUAUUAUAUUGUAAUAUUGCAAUAUAUUCGUUUUAUGUUAUAAUAUAUUAUUAUUAUAUAUCUUAUCAUAUUAUUAUUUUUUUUAUUAUUUCUGAAAUAUAAUAUUAUUAUAACAAGAAUACACUAUUAGUACAAUAGUAGCAAAAUAUAUUAUAUUUAUAUUAUUUGAAUAUUAUAAUAAUAAUAUUCAUACUGUAAUAUUAAAAUAUAUUAUAAUGUUAUUACAGUAAUAAUAUGAUAAGUAAUAUGUCCAGUAUUAUAGUUAUUCUUAUACUAAUCAAUGAUAAUCCGGUAGUAAUAUACCUUUUUAUUAUAAUUAUAAAAAUAAUAUAAUAAAUAUUGUACUAUAAAAGAAAGAGCAGUUCACUGUUUCUCAGCUCAAUUUCAGAAAAAUCAUAUCUCUUUUCACAUCAAUCAAUGAAAUACUUGCAAUUUGCAGUUUUUAAUUAUAGACAACUAAACAAAAACUCCUUCCUACGAUUUUGAUUCCAAAUACGAGUAACAUCAAAAUUAAGUUUAUAAUACCAUCAUCCUAUUGAUCUAAGUUUAUUACUUAUUUAAAUGAAAGUUAUUUUUCUUCACACUGGGGUCACAAGCUGUCCAAAAAAUUAAGCUUCUUAGUUCCUCCGCUCGAGCAACAUAUGUCAAUGACUGUUCAUUCUAUUAAUGUCAUUUUUCACAUAACUUACAACAUUUCAAGAGGUAAAUUUAACCACAUCAUCCAGAAUUCUCGAAGCUAUCUAAACAUCAGCUCAUAAAAUCAUGAUCUAAUUGAGAAGCAGCAGCUAGCCAAGCCUCUUCUAAAUUGUUAUCUCGUGGACAUUGCCUCUAAUCACCAAAUAGAUCACAUGGCUCAAUGAAUUCAUGUUAAAUAGUAAAUGCAGCAGAGGUGUACCCAAUUUAAGGAAAAGAAAAAACUAACAUGAAAUGAUGGACACACGUGGAUCAUCAUGAGUUAUUAAGUGAGAAAAACAGAAGACGGCAAUAAAGAACUCAUCAUGACAAAAAAAUUGCAGCUACCUGUUCCCAAUGUUUUCAUGCACACCCCAUUCUCUUCCAUGUUUCCAGCGGCAGCAAAUCUAGGCCGUCCAAAUUAAUUACCACCUUUUUCCCACAAAAUUAAUUAAAUAGCCGUCCAACAUAAAGCCCACUGGUGAGUCAGCAAGUGAUGUAGAGUUGAGAGCUUGGAAAGCAUCAUCUUUGUCAAAUUAGCUCUAGAGACUAAUUGUAUCCAUCUUGAAGAUGAUAGAGCUCUGAUGGUUGAUUGAAUUCAUGUUGACCGGCACAAGCAUGUAGAUAGACAUAAUUUUUUAGACUACUCAUAUUUAUUGGAAGACGAACAGUAUAGUCGUCUGAAUUGCAUUUUAUGCAAACUUUUUUUUGUUAAAUAAUAGAACGGGAGAGGGAGGGACCAGCCCAUCCGUGUAGCAGCCUCCACUGGGCCCCCCUUCCACUAGAAACUUUUGAUACAGAUUGCAGGUUUCGCGUGCCUUUUUUGACCCAUGGACUCAUCCCACUGGGCACACCGUCUCAGUGUGGGUACGUCACCCCAGCGCCAUCUUAGUACAAGUGGAAGGAAAGCAUAACCGUCAGCAAGCCAUCCGGACGUGGGGUAUCUGGUCCCCUAAUUUAAUCGACGCCUGCGCGUUUCGAAUCCGGACAACUUGGACGGAGUUAUCGCUCUCUUACCAUCUGACUAUCAUCUUGGUGGCAACUUUUGUUUUUUUUUUUUUUUUUUUUUUUGACUAGUGUGCUCAGCGUACAGGGUAAGUUGCAGCUGUAUUAAAAAGAAAAAUAACUCGAUCAGAAGGGCGUGAUUUGAUGCCAGGAUUCUCCAAAAAAAAAAAAUCCAAAAAAUAAUAAAUAAUAAAGAAAAGUCUUUUUAAGGAAACAACAUUGCGUGACGGCGGGAACGUCGCCAAUCCAAAAGCGCGGAGACGACGGAGGGAGAGAGGGCAAGGUAUUUUUAUUUAUUUUUUUUAAAGGAAAAAAAAAAAUUCUCGUCGCCGUUUCUCGUUGCCCAAACGCGUAAACUAUAAAACGAAAAAAAAAAAUUCAGAAGUCCUCCCGUUUUCUUGGCUCACACGGUUUCCUCCUUAACUGUUAAUCCGUUUUUACCUCCGAAUUUUAAAUUAUUUCCUCACAUGGUGGUCUCCUCGUCCCCAUUCUCAGAUACCCUCCUCCUCCCUUCUCGCCUCCUCCACUCUCGACAGCUCCGAAACCCCCCUUUUGCUAAAAAAAUAAAGGAAAUUUUCGCGCAUUUUUCCAACGGCAAUAUCUUUUUUUGCUUCCCUUAUCGGGUGCACGGGAACCGAAAUCUACGCUUCAGGUAUUUCAUAUAAAUAUGUAUCUUUUAAGGUCAUCUCGUUAACCGUUUUGCUGUGAAUUUUUUGUGAUCUUUCGAGUGGUUUUGCGACGGUUUCAAUUCAAUCGCUUUGCUUCUGUAGAAAUUUUAUCAGGUCUUCUGGAAUGGAAGAGUCGUUUACAAAAGGAGAAGGCUUUCUACAGAAGCCAUUCUGGUAGUGUUUGAUAUAGAAGGAUAGGAGGAAAUUGGGAUUGGUGUAAAGACAAAUGGUGUUGGGAUCUUACCUUGUAGUGGAGGAAAUGUGGGUCCUUUCAGAUGGUCCCUUGUUAGUUUGAAAUUUGUGCAAUUGUCAAUAGGUUCGUAGUUCUUAUUUGAUUUAUGAAUACGUUUGCUGUUCGAUCGCCGAUUGAAAAGCUUUAUGCCAUAAUGAUUAUGUCAUAACAACGCUCUAUCUAGUCCGUUCUAGCUUCAUGUAGCUGUUUGCAGCAUGGUGACCUCAACACUGUAGAACUGAAUUUUUCCUCGUAGGCAGAGUCUGGGUCAAGCAAAUGCUUCCAAAAAAACAAAAAAAAAAGUUUUGAUAAGAAUUUAUAUUUUUUAAAAUAGUUUCCUGUCGGUGCUCUCCACUGUGUUCCAAGGUAGAAGUGGAGCUAUAUAUUUGGUGGUGCAACCCAAUCUCUACUGCAUUUUCAUGUAUGGUUCUAAAGGUGCUCGGUUUAUUCUUUUCUGUUCCUCUGCACUUGGUCUACUGUGAUGGUAAUUGUCAUAGGAAUUGUUGUUAAUUUAGUAACAACAACUAACUCGCCUGAUUCUGAUUCUCUGCUUUCGUUGCUUUAAAUGCCGUUCGUUUCUCCCUUCUUCUUUUUCUGAUUCCGUGCUGUGUCGAGAACAAACUGAUAUCAAUUCCAAUAGUGUAUUCUGUAGGUUUUUGCCCUGUUUCUGUACAUUUUAAGAAGAGUCAAGACCGAGCUACAGCCUUCGCUGUAAGUCCACUUCUAACGCACCUGAAUUUUGCUGAAAACGAAUUUUUACUCUACUUUCAGUGGAAGUAGGUGAUGCAGAGGCCCAGAACUGUACUUCGAUGCUUCAAGCUAAGCUGUUAAAGCCAGAACCCGAUAUGACUGUGUAGUUGUGUUCUGCACUGCCUGUAAGAUGGGAGGUGAGUUCACUGAGGAAGCAGACAUGGAGGUCCUGCCUUCGAUGUGGCCUGAAGAUAUUGGGAGUGAAGCCAGAAAGCAGUUCAACAUGGAACAGCCGGGGGCGAAUCGGGACAUGCUGGAGGAUGUCACAAUCAAAGAAGAUCCCUCUGUUGUAGAUUUCAAACGCCUCUUAGAACUAACCAAUUACAGCGAGAAGGGUUCCUCUCAGCUGACGUACCUCGUAAAACACUGGGAGUACAGGCACACCAAUGCCGUUCGGCUUCUCAAUGAAGAGCUCAACAUCCUGAGCAAACAGAGGCAGGAAGUUGAACUCAAGAAGCUAGAGAUUCUUGAGGAGCAUCGUUUUGAGGAUGACAAGCAUGCUGGUUCCAAACGUCCGGUCUCUAUUCUGGAGGAAGCUUGUGACGUAUGGGGAAGGGUCCCAAGGAAGCGAAAUGAUGUCGCCGCUUAUAACAGAAAUCUCGACAUAGAUGCCGAGUAUGAUACUGCCAUGUACUGGAAGCAGCGGGCUUUGCAACUAGAAAAAAUGCUCCAGGAAACCAUUAAAAGAGAGGACGCUCUCAUGCAAAAGUUGCUGGAGAACAUUAAGAACCUCGAAACACAGUCAUCACCGGUGGAGGAAUUAUCUCAGAUCUUAAAAAGGGCUGAUAAUUUCUUGCACUUUAUUCUUCAGACUGCACCUGUAGUCAUUGGGCAUCAGGUAUUUGACUGAUUAUGCUCAAGUUCUGUUCCAAACUAUAUGUCUUCAAAACUUCGCUUCCAUAUAUUAGUCCAGCGCUAUGACCACAAAAGCAACUGGCUUGGUUUUCAGGAUUCCAGUUUGAUAGUAUACAGAAAUAUGCUGAAAUCUUCAAAAGUAUUUCUCUUAAAUGCAUAUAUUAAAUAUCAUGCUUAUGAAAAUGCGAGCCAUUCCCACCUUAGGGCAGUUGUCCUAACAGUACCUUUUGAUGGUAUGCGUUUGAAAAGAUAGUAGUUCUUAGUAAUAACCUUUUCAUGUUAUUUGGUUUCAGGACAAAGAGUUGCGGUAUCGAUUCAUCUACAAUCACUUUCCAAGGCUCGAAGAGGAGGUAUUUGCAUGCAUUCCUCCCAUAUAUAUAUGACAUAUUCCCGUACCAGGGGUCUUGCCUUUGCGUCUACUUGAGUUUUCAUCUGACAACUAGUGUGGUAUAUGAAAUUUUUGAAGAUUCAGGCUUUUAUAAAAGUGAAACGAAGAAGUGGUAAUGAAGGCUGUCAAUGAGCCUGCCAAACUGAAAUUCAUAUAUGGCAGCAGCCCAGCGAACUCUCAAUUCAUAAGUCUUUCAGAUUUUACAUGUCCAAGAUGCAUGUUAGCCACACAGAUUGCAUCUAUAUAAGGAAUUGUCUAUCAAAUAUUUUGUAAACAUCUAAAGGAAAUUCUAAAUUACUGAAGAGAUGGGAAGAUGUAGUAGUUAGAGGACACGGGGAAAAGGUGACGAAGAUGUACAUGGAAAAAAUCAAAAGGAAAAUAAAAAAAAAAGAUAAUGUGAUUUUUCAAUAAUCACAUCCCAACAAAAUGGUGUUUGUGAUAAUAAAUAGCAUUCAAGGAUUCUCUUCCUAAAAAAUUCUGGAAGGUUUAGUUCCUGAGAGCAUCAUGAAGUAUUCCUUGUCUCAGUUAGAAGAUCUGCACUUUGAAUGACAAACUUGAUAUUUUAAUCUUUCUACAACAUUUCUUUCUAGUGUUUUCUUCUAACUCAUUGACUAGCUGAAGAUCACAGACCCAUCAAGUGAUUCCCUUAUAGAGCACUCUAAUUGCCAUCUGCAUCAUUUAUCUUUAUAUCACUUCACUAAUCACUACCUUCAAGCCAAAAAGUUAGCUUUUGUAGGCAUCUUUCCAAAACUACACCGUGCUUUUUGGCAAGAAAGUAGCCUUGGCAAGCUUCUUUUCAGAAAAUAUAAUUUGCUUGGCAUAUGCUUUUGGUUUUAUGCAUUGCUGUAGCCUUCCCACUGAACUAUUGAUGAAAAAAGCUCUGACAUAUUUUUUUUCCCUUUUCAUUUGACAGACCUCAGAGUCUUAAAUCCAGUUAUGUGGAAGAAAUUUGAUUUUUCCAACCAUGAAAUUUUCAUGUAUUUAGAACAAUCAAAAUAUGCAAGUAAUAUUUCUCUUCUUUUUCGAAAAAUCAUACCUUUCAUUGCCUUGUUGACCACCUACGUCCAAAGCUUUGAUCUUUUGGUCAUGCUCUCUCUCUCUCUCUCUCUCUCUGAUGGGUAGGCAGAUUUGUUGGGAUAAUGAAAUAAGUAAGUGCCUUAUGACAGGGAAAGAGAAAGCCAUUCAAUCUAGUUAGUGUUGAAUCUGUGCUUUCCAUUUUAUUUUCUUUCUUUUUUUCAAGAAAAAGAGCACAAUGUUUUGACUGUUCACUUUGAAGCUAUCUCAACCUUUGAUGUUAAUGUAAGCGAUUUUUCAGGACAUUAUAGGCAAAACUGAUGAGGAGAUAUUCUCCGGGGCUGGUGUAAAAGAGAUUCAGGAUUUCAAGAGAGAAGUCUUGGAGCGAGGUUCGCCUGCGAAGAGGGAAAUAAAAUUUGAUACCCCAUUAUUUGGAUCAAAGACCUUUCUGAUAUAUGUUGAACCAGUUUUUAGCAAGGCAGGAGAUACAAUUGGUGUGAAUUAUAUGGGAAUGGAUGUGACUGAUCAGGUACCUAUCAAAUUUUUUCUGUCUUGUGGUUUCUGCAAUUCUCCUACGCUGCAUUGGUGCUCAUUUAAUAUUUGAAGGUGGUAGUCAUUUUUUUAUGCACUUCAGUCCCUGAGAAGAGAUAUAAGCUUCCAGUCUGAGCUGCUGAUGCUAAACUGAAGUAGAAAGAAAUGGAAAAAUAGGCUUCUAAAAGAUUUCUUGGAUUUGAGCUGUUCACGGGCCGGGAGGCCCAUCCAGCCUGCUCGAGCCCGAAGCCUUGCUGGUAGGCUCGGCCCAAAGGUUUUUGGGCCGGUGAGCUGGACCAGGAGUAAAGCGGCCAAGCUCGGGUUUGGGAUUAAAGCCCAGCCCAAACCCCACCCAGCCUGAAUUGUUUUUUCUUAUAUUAUUUGUUUAUAUUUGAUGUAUUUGUAAAUUUAAUUGGAAAUUAUUAUUAAUAUGUAAACUUAAUAGAAUACUAGGCAUGUAGUAGGUUGUUUCCAACAUUUGAUAGUCCAUAUUUAGUAUUUUAUAGAAUAUUUUAAAGUAUAUUAAGCAUUUUUUUAAAACAAAUCAAAAUGGUAAUGAGGCUCGAGGCCCAGCCCGCAGCCCGAGUAAGGGCUUGGAGCUUGGAAGUUACACCCGAACAUAGGGCCGAGCCAGGACCUAAGUAAAUUGCGCUGACCUUCGGCCCCAACCUGGACCAUGAACAGGUCUAUUCUUGACUUUCGGAUCGGGAGAAUCAUAUUUUUAGCAAAUCACAACCUGGUUGAGUCAUUUUUCUUAUGAUCAUGCUCAAUCUGUAUAUGAAACGAGAAUGAUUAUAUGAAAGAUGAGUCCUUUGCAUGCAUUUCAACUAAUAAAGUGCUACAAAUGAGCCCGAAGAAUUAGCUCCUCAUUAUUGAGUCCUCUGGUCUUCUCCAUUGCAUCUUCCACAUACAAUCAGCUUAUUAUCCACUAAUGAAACCCGUAAUGUACACAAGAUGUAAAGUGUUGUCUUAUUGGAGACUUCUAUGAUCCAGCGGCAUACAGUUAUGAUCAGAAAAAGAUGUAUAUAUAUAUUAUCCAUUGAUGCAGUUCUCUUGCUACUCCAUAUGUGACUGAACUCUGCAUUCUCAUUACUGCUCUGCUUAUAUUAUUUGUUUGCACCACUUUUCCUGCUAAAUUUUGCAACAAAAUACUGUUAUUACGUACCAUCUUCUAGAAUUUUGCCUCAGAUCCUGCUGGCUUUCUGUUUGAAGAGGAGGAAUUUGAUUAAUAUUGCCUUCAUCUUAGUAUGUAGUUUGGAUUUAUCUGAAAGGAAGUAAAUUUUUCAUACGUGCACUAGUUUAAUUUUAUCUGACAAUUUUUAGAUGUUGGAUUACGAGAACGAGAUGAGCAUCUGAUGACGAAAUGGGCAUCUAAAUAUUCCCAGCCAACUAAUUAGUUUCAUGCAUCUAUGUUGUAUAGGAAUCUUAGAUGCUAUAAGAUGCUGUCAUGAUACUUACAACAUGUAUUAUAGGUUAUUGACAAGUUGCAUCCCUUACUAAAUUUGUUCAUGACAUAUUAAGCUCAUUUCAUGGUUAUCUACCACAUGAAAGAAUUGUUAUAAUUGUUCGGUAACAUAUAUCAGAUGCUGUGAUUUGUUGCAUUGGAGGGUGCUAUCAACAAAUUGCAUGUGGGUUUAUCUUUUUUUUUUUAUUAGAAUUUUUUUUACGUGAAUAUCCUUCCUAAAUAUUUAAAUUUAUGUAAGUACCCUCUCAAAAUUAAUAUUUUUUUUGACAUAUGUACCUUUGCAAUCUAAAGCCAUUAAAAAAAUGAAUAGUUUAAAUUUGAAAUGACUAAAAUAUUCUUAAUAGGUAGAUGUGCAAUAUAUAUAUAUAUAUAUAUAUAUAUAUAUAUAUAUAUAUAUAUAUAUAUANNNNNNNNNNNNNNNNNNNNNNNNNNNNNNNNNNNNNNNNNNNNNNNNNNNNNNNNNNNNNNNNNNNNNNNNNNNNNNNNNNNNNNNNNNNNNNNNNNNNNNNNNNNNNNNNNNNNNNNNNNNNNNNNNNNNNNNNNNNNNNNNNNNNNNNNNNNNNNNNNNNNNNNNNNNNNNNNNNNNNNNNNNNNNNNNNNNNNNNNNNNNNNNNNNNNNNNNNNNNNNNNNNNNNNNNNNNNNNNNNNNNNNNCUUUUGUUAUUUUUUUGAUUUCUGGGAUGAUGAAAACUAUAUUCCAGUUUGCUUACAUAACAGGUGGCAAGAAGGGAGAGAAUGGCUAAGCUAAGGGAGGAGAUAGCUGUCCAAAAGGCCAAAGAGACAGAACUUAAUAAAACAAUUCAUAUAACAGGUACCAAUUUAUUUGUUGAGGUGCUACAUUGUUCUCCUUUUGAAAAAGUAAUUGUUAGGCACUAGCUAUACUUACACUGUAUCAAUACCUGUAGAGGAAACAAUGCGGGCAAAGCAAAUGCUAGCAACCAUGUCUCAUGAGAUAAGAUCUCCUCUUACGGGGGUCGUUGGUAUGGCUGAGAUUCUGGGGACAACUAAAUUGGAUAGAGAACAACGUCAAUUGCUGGAUGUGAUGCUAUCCUCUGGAGAUCUGGUUCUCCAACUUAUAAAUGAUAUACUUGACCUGUCAAAGGUUGAAUCAGGUAUUGCUUCAGUUUUUUCUUGGACAGAUCUUGAGCUGGAAACUGAAGGACAAUGAUUGAUUCAUAGCACUUUGUAAUUUUUGUCAGCAUUGCCUUUUCAUAUUAAAUUAAUCAUGAUGACUUAAGUAGCCAUUGGGGGUUUAUGAAGGAGUUUGGAUUGAUGAAGAAAGAUUUAGAAAUGGAGUAGGAAAAGAAGUGCCCCGCUCAUGACAGUAAGGAAAUAGGUGACUGUUGAUUUCAUUCUGAGACAGUUGCUUAUUCAACAUGACCGGAUAUGGUCAACUUAGUAGCCCUAGUUCAAGAAUGUGCUGUCGUCAAUGUGCUUCAUGCUGAUUAUAUAUGUUAAAAAAAUUUCGAGUACCUUGAAAGUAAUCCACACAAGUAAAAAGAAUGCAAUUGACUACAGAAAUUUAUAUUGACGUUUGGACUUGACAGACUUCAGCAUACAUUAAACUGUUGCAGAAAAUCACGGCGUGUAUAACUAUGUCAUAAAGAUAAAAAACAGAAAUCAUAACAACUAUCUGAAGAUCAGCAGUUUUCUUGAACUUCACCAACUUUUUUCUCAUUUUCCAACUUUAGAACAGUUUUCUGUCAGAUUUUGGUUUAUGCAUAUCUAUUCACUGAUUAUAAAUGAGAAUUGCAUUCACUGUGAUGACCUUUGAUGAAGUCAUUUCAUUAUUUAAGGAAUCUCAGUAAUUGUUGAAUAUCAGUUCAGCAUAGAGAAAUCUUAACUUUGCUCCUUCCAUUUAUUUUAGGAGCAAUGAAGUUGGAGGAUACAAAAUUUAGACCAAGAGAGGUAGUUAGACAUGUCCUCCAGACUGCUGCUGCAUCUUUGAAGAAGGAAUUGAUGUUGGAAGGACAUGUAGCUGACGAUGUUCCAGUUGAGGUAGGAGUUUAAUUAGCAAACACUUUCUACAUUCAUGGAAUGUUUCUAUUUCAGUUCUUCCCUACAGUUCAAGGAGAAAGACUUUCUCAGUAUUACAGCAUCCACCUGCUCUGCAGAAACCUCCUGCUCAGUGAAAUUGCAAAAGAAUGGCAGUUAUAUUUAUUUUCAUGGAGUCAGAAAAUUAUGUAAAUAUUUCUAAUAAGAAAAUAAAUUGGAUAGCCUAUGCAGGAGCUCGAAGUCAAGAGACUGUAGAACUUCUGAACAUUUCUAGGAAACUUGGUUCCUAACGCAGUCACUGGUCAGUGUUAUUUUGCUUAAAAAGUGAUACGAGUUUGUACUCGGGAAGGUCAUCUAAUCUUAAAAGACUAAGCAUGUAUAUGGCUAGAUACUUGUAUGUCAUUUUGCAUAAUUUUAUGCAUCAUACUAAACUCAUAGUUAUUUCAUUUUUUUACUGAUAACCUUUGAUGUUUUCUUACACGUCUAAUUAAUCAAACAUAACCAGUGUCUGGAAACAGAAGAUGCUCCGUAUAUAAAAUAACUGUAUGUCACAUGUCAAUUUUCUUUUAUAACAAUAAUUUGGCUAAUCUGGUUUUUCCUUCAGCAAUUCUUAUAAUUAUGGCAAAUUGACAUUCUUUCAGGUUAUUGGUGAUGUUUUAAGAAUUCGGCAAAUCUUGACCAACUUGAUUAGGUAAGAAUUGGAAUUAGACUUGUAUUCCUGGUUUUGUAAAUGAUUGAACUGAAACUGGUUUAGUGCUUCCUAGUUCAAUAAACUAUUUAAAAUUGAAUGGUCAUGCUUGUUAUGAAAACUGUUUCUGCAAAUUGAGUAGCAUGUGCAGAAAUUUUAAUUCUAUUAUUGAGUGUUAAUAAGUUUGAACUCUUGUAUAAGUUAUUAGGUGAUUUCUCUGACUACUGGAUGCAUUAUUCGCAUCUAUUCCAAAGCCUUAUCCUCAUGUCUAUAAAAGUGAGGAAUUGUUCUUAGGACUUCACAAAAAACUCCCUAGCUCCAUAAGCAAAAUUUGAACACCUGCUGUUGAUUAACACUUUCUACUAAAGUUUGCUGUAUCAAAUCAAGAUAAUGAAAUCUUGGCUUUUAGUUACAUCUUUGCGGAGCCCCAUAGUAUGAGAUCCAAACUUCCUUUGCUUAUCCCAUCAUUGGUUCAAGUCAUCUGCCCCUCCUAUUCUCCAAAUGCACAUCAAAUUAGAUAGUGCAGCUUAGAAGUUAAAGAUGGUACCAUGUUUUCAAAUUCUGGUGGGAUGUCCCACAGGAGGCUGGGAUGGGGUAACGUCCCGUGUCCGGCCGUCGUCCCAGCAUACCGAUCAGCAUGGCCUGGGGCAUCUCUCAUCCCAAGUGUCCAAAUGAGGUGGGAUGGCAGCACCUGUUCCACAAAAAAACUGGGACAGCCCCAUCUCAUGAGGCUUAAAACCUUGGAAAGUACCUUAGUUAUCAUGAUGGAGGAAAGGAAAUUAAGACCCUCAAACAUGGAGGAACACAAGGAAACAUAAAUAUGGCAUCCAAGUAAGAAACCAAGGUUGGUUUGGGAGAUAACUAUUUCACCAUAAAAAUACUUACAGGGGAACAUUAGAGAUAUAUAUAUGAACCAUGCAGUGUCAAAUUACAUACAUGCAUGAAUACAUUCGUUUCUUUGGUAUCAAGUGACUGCAAUUUCCAACAGAUAGUAGUUAAUAUUCAUAUUAAAUAACUUUAGUACCCAUAGACAUGUAUGAGGCACUAAAUAAAUAUCAAGGAGUAGCAACAAGAAGUUUAGUCCUUCUCUUUCUUAUGUAACAUAUAAGGAAUUAUUCCUUGAAUAGGUUUUCAAAGAUAAGUGUGAUCAAUAUCUUUUACCUAAAUCAGUUCUCUUGUAAGGAAAAAAGACUUUUCACCAUUACUCCAGCUGAAUAUGCAAAUAUUUGGUAAAUCUGAUGGGGGACUGUGUUUGUUUUGACCCUGGGUGGGGGAAGAUUUACAGUGUGCCGUGCGAGAAUCUUGCAAUUUGUCUGUUAGUGAUGGAAACAUUGCGCAUCUUUUCUGUGUGCUUAUUAAAUAGAUAGAACAAGCCCUUUUGUUUAUGUUUCUCGUGUUUGAUAAUAACCUAUACUGAAUAUCUUGAACUAAUCUGCAAAUUAAUUUUGCAGCAAUGCAAUCAAAUUUACACAUGAAGGGAAGGUUGGGAUAAACCUUCAUGCGGUGUCCAAGCAAUGUCCAGGAUGUCAAGAACGACACAAUCAAGGUCUAACAGCUGCUUUACAAUCAACAAGACUAGCAAAAGAGAAUUCUUCAGAAACUCAAAGCUAUAUUGAUCGAGAAAGUUCACAUUGUUCAACUUGUCAAAACAAUCUUGACCAAAACAGUACCGAGAAGCAUCAUUUGACUAAUGAAGAUACUGAGAAGCAUAAUCAACAGUAUGAAAAAAUAGUGUGGCUACGCUGUGAAGUAUACGACACUGGUAUUGGAAUACCAGGUUCUUCUCAACUCUCACUUCAGACUCUGUAAACCCUUCCAUUUUCAUUGAUGUUUGUAUAGAAUAUAUUCAUGACAAAAAUGUUUGUAUAGAAUUUAGUUCUUUUCCUUUAUCUGAAAAUAUGCACUUUUAAAAUUCUUUUUCUCUGUUGUUGGAUUAUUUACGUGUACAUGAUUGUUUCCAUCAACAGAAAAGGCAUUACCUUCAUUGUUCAAAAAGUAUAUGCAAGCUAGUGCGGAUCAUGCUCGGAAGUAUGGUGGAACAGGGCUUGGCCUUGCAAUCUGCAAACAAUUGGUGAGGCACGUUAGCUUGUUUCAGAAUCAUUCUUUUCCAUUCAAAUUCCUUGGCUUGUUCAAAUUUUGAAUUUGAUGUCUGAGAGCAGUCUUUCAACCUCUUAAGUAGCCAUUCUCUCAUGUCGCAUCCUAGAGGUUGCAGGUUUUCCCAUAGUUUGUAUGGACAACAGUAGACAACAGUGUGACUGUACCAAGCACCUCUUUUUGAAUAGCGUAGUAAGGAUUCUGACUUUUGGCAUGCCUGCAGCCCCUGGAGGCAAUAAAAGUUUGAACUAAGCUUGUAGUAGUUGGCCUAGUGCAAUCAUAUAUAUGAUUGCAAUUAUUUAUGUUGGUGAAAAAUGUUGGACGACAAUUUUGUGUUUUCUCUAGCACCAGAUGGUCUAAAACAUUUUAAAUCUUAUUUUGAGCUGUCUUUAACGUUUUUUUGUUAGUUCCAAGUUCCAACAUUAUAAAGCUUUUUGUUCUCUUAAUAUAUUGAUCAUCUAGAUUCCAACCGAGUAUCAGCUCCAAUUUUAAUUGAAAUCCUGCUUUAACAUGACUCAAUCUUUUAAUUUCCACUCCUCAAUUUUUGGAUCUCACAACUUUUAUUUCUUGGAUCAUGGAUUCUCAAGCAUCAAAUUCAAACUUUGCAGACACUUCUUGCUAAACCUUAGAAAAGGUUUAUGUUAUCAAUUCUUGGCCUACAUUUCUCUCAUGUUGGCUUGAUUUAGCAGUUUGUUAUCUCUCUUUCCUUUUCUGGAGCAUCAGGCAUUCCAAACUUAGCCUCUUUGCUUUUGCUUCUCUUCCUAGACAUCUUUAGCGAGGUAGCAUAGGCAUACAUCUUGGAUUCCUUCAUAAUCUUUGUUUUUAACACAAAUCUUUAGUUUUUUUAAGCUGAAAUAAUUUGUUAAAAUGAUCUUGAAAAAUAAAUAAAAAACAGUACCAAAUACUUUUGUCAUCUUAUAGUAUGUACAUACCCUUUUUAUUUACAGGAAUUCUGUUUCCUCAAGGUUUUAGGAAGUUCAGCUUCUUUUAUCCUCAAUUUUAGUACCAGUUCAGGCUAUUAUUCUUAUACCGAUGCUGAUUAAUAUUUUUAUGAGCACACUCGUUUAUAAAUAUGUAGAAGUGCAUUGCUAUUUGUUGUUUUUUAGAAUCAUCAAAUUGGUCUUCCUAGUGCACAACUUUAAAGGUGAAAACCAUCUUGGUCCUGUGGACUCCUGGAUAUCUACAUUAGAAUUCUGCACUGCGUACAUUUUCAAAGAUUUUGAAAUAUACAUUGAUUUCGUGUUGAUAUUAUGAAUGACAUAAUAGAAUAUUGUUUCUUUUUUCCCUUUGUCUUAUAAAAAUAAACAUGGUUCUUGCACUUACUUUGUGAAAUGCAUCUGAGAUAGGUGGAGCUGAUGGGUGGAAAUCUUACUGUGACCAGCAAAGAGCAUUGUGGAUCAACAUUUACCUUUGUGUUGCCCUGUAAAGUUCCUUCAAAGAGGGAAAAUUCUGAUGAUCAUGAUGAAAAUGAAGCCAUUUCUGAUUCUGAAAUUACAGCUGAUUCCAGUAGUGAUGAAAUUAAUGGGUCAUUUGUCUUUAAGCCUCUGACACGGGGUACUUUAUUCUCAUCUGACGGAUCCAUGGUUUGCAAGACAAAACUCUUUGGCAGUAGCAUGCUUGAUGCCUUACAUAUUUCAAAUGGUUUGUCAGAGUCUGACUCAUACUCCUCUAAUGAUUGCACAUCAAGGAAGAGGCUUUCUUCUGAUAGGGUAUCUGCAAUUUCCGAUGCAAAAAAGAUGCAGGCUGAACCUAAAGGUCCUGCACAGCAAAGCCUAGGGCAUAAUGUUAAUGAUUUUGGGAGGAUAAACAAAAGAGAUGAAGGAUGCCAGGAUUCUACAAAUGGCUUUGUAAUGCAUAAAUUUGACAGUUCUAUUAUGGAUUCCAGCAGAACUCAGAGGAAUACAGGCUUGCAGCAAGGAAAGAUGGCAUCCUCAGAGAGAGCAAAUAUGGCUGAAAGUGUCAAGAGCUUACCAACAUGUCAAAGCCCAACGCAUGAGAAAGAAGAUACGUGCAUGUCAGAUGGAAGUUCAUUCAAGAUUCUUCUUGUCGAAGAUAACAAGAUCAAUGUAAUGGUGGCACAGUCAAUGAUGAGGCAGUUGGGUCAUAGAAUAGAUGUUGUGAAUAAUGGGUUAGAAGCUAUCCGUGCACUUCAGCGUUCUCAUUAUGAUCUUAUUUUUAUGGUAAUACCCUAAUGUGAAUUUUUUCCUUUCCAAAUUUCAAGUGUGAUAAAACAUUUAGAGAUUUAUUCAGGACCUAUUUGAUUCAGAUGGCAGUUAUAUUGUAUAUUUGCUUGCAUUUUCAUUACAUCUUAACUCUAUCAUGAAUUAGUAUUUUCACAAAUUGAUCUCAACCUAGGUGACAAUUAAUCUCAGAAUAUUUGUAGUGAUAAAUAAUAUUCAAAUCAAUCCUCCAACAUACUUUCUUUAAGAUGAUUGUCGCAGAGAUCAUUGUUACUAGGUAUCAUGAGUAUUGCAGUGCAUGGUGCCUUUUCUUUCAAACAAUUUGCUUAUAGCUCCAAGUAAAUUAAUUUAUAUGUUAUUAGUUUUUAUCCCAUUGAAAAUUUGUUUACAAGUUCUGAAUAAAUUUGAAAUAACCACUUGCAAUCAUUCAAGUCUCAUAUAUGUCUAUCAUGAAAUCUUGUUUCCUGUAAGUAGCGGCAAUCAGUUUUGAAAAGACACUAAAAAAUAGUGGUAGCAAUAUCAUGCAUUUUUUUAUACUGUUGUCUCAAAUUCUUGCCCUUUAGAAAUUAAAAGUGCUAUGGAAACUCUUUUAUGAGCUAAUAACCCUCAUCUAAUUGUCUGUCUCAUGUAAAUGGUUAGAAGAAAUGUCUAUCUGAUAUUAGCUUAUUCAUAAUCAAAGUAUUGGAAACUUUUAGUAAAUUUAUUGAAAACCAUUCCUAGGCCUCUAAUCGCCAUCCACAUCUCAUGGACAUACAAUAAUUGUUCAUUGCAGUUGUUGAUACUGGAAGGACCUUUACAAUAAAUUCAAAACUCUUUCUUGCUUUAUAAGUGCUGAUGCCAAGAAACAAUUGUUGUCCAUCUCAUUUGAAAUGCAAUCAGAAAUUGUCCAUUUUGAUGAUUUGUUUGUUGGGCAAGUGGAUGGAAUGUUAUUGUUUGAAUGACAUAAAGUGCCAUAAAAAAGCACACAUCAGCAUGUUAUUAGCACAAAAUUGGAAAGAUAACAUGAAUUCUAAAUGUAGUAAGCUCAGGUCAUGCCGGAACUAUUUUUGCAAGGCAAAGUCUUGUUUGAACUUAUAUUAAACUACAUGAGCUAUGAUCAGUCAUUAGUAAGCAUAACAUCUGUAUGCAGAACUAGUAGGCAUAACAGCAUUUUCAAUCAACCAAUAUGAAGCAUGACAUGACAAAAAGUCUUCCUUAAUGACAGGCAGUGGAGAGAUUAUUUCUACAAUAUUUUAUUACAUGGAAUGUUGGUGAAUGUUGCUUAGCAUUGGAACAGAUUGACUGGAAGCAAAACAGCACACUAGUUACACAUUACAUAAUUGAGGCUCACUUUAUAAACCUUAUGAGCCAGUAAUACUGACUCCAUGGUACUUGGCAGGAUGUCUGCAUGCCAGUAAUGGAUGGUAUGCAAGCCACCAGAUUAAUCCGGUCUUUUGAAGAAAAUGGUUACUGGGAUGCUUCUGUAACAAAUGGAAAUGAUCACACUAUGACCAGCUCAGAUUCACUAACACAUGGUCCAGAUGCAGGACAGAGCAGAAAAAGAAUUCCUAUCAUCGCAGUAAGUUUUCUAACAGAAUAGGCCUAUCACUUUCAAUCACAAUUCUCAUAUGUUAUUAUCUUGUUACUAUCAAGAAGAUAGAUACAUUUAAGUACACUGAUUUUCAAUUAACAUCUUUUUAUAUGCCAUGUUAUGCUUCUUUCAAAUUAUUAUACAUAGCACAUUAUCCUGUGUUUAAGGUAUUCUGUGAUUGAAAGAUUGAAAAGUAGGAUUCUUUGUCUGAAUUUAGAAAUAUGGACAUAUACAUUAGCUAGUCAUAUUAUUCAGCUAUUACAAGCAAGGUAGACAACAACUAGUCAUAUUAUUCAGUUAUUACAAAUAGGUCUGCAAUUUCGAUCUUGGGCACUGUACCGGUACGUUACCAGUUUGGGACAAUACGGUCAGUAUAGUACAGUACGUACUCCAUAUCUAAAUAGCUUCCGACCUCUUUUUUUCAUUUUUUAUCAUGAUACCACCCAAGACGGGACAGUACAGGUCGGUACGAUAUGGUAUGCAUCCUGAUUUCGAGCAGUACUAGGCAAUACGGGGCAGCUCUCCUCGGUCUAGACUAGUAUGGAUAGUUCGACUCAUAUAUCAAACCGAACCUAAGUACCAUAGUGGUACAAUACGAUAUGAUCGAUAUGUACAGUACAGAUCAUAUGGUAGACCUUGACUAUAAGUAUGUCUUCUAUCAAGCCGCAUCUUCCAAUAGACAAAUCAAGACAAACAUGAACUAUAAAAGGAAAAAUAAGGAAGUGUCUUGUCUGAUAUGUAUUGUUGUGCUGCAGAUGACAGCAAAUUCACUAGCUGAGAGUGCUGCUGAUUGCCUUGCCAAUGGUAUGGAUUCAUUUGUAUCUAAGCCUGUGACCUUUCAGAAUUUGAAACAAUGUCUCAAACAGUACUUGCCGUGUUGAAUAUUGUAAAGUGGUUCUUGCAAAAUAGAAAAAGAAGAAUGUAACCAAGGAAAAUUUUGUAAUUAAUAUAUUAAUAUAUCUUCUGUCUGCUUGUAAAUUGGUGUCUCAUCAUCUCAAUUUGUCUUAUCAAAUCUUCAUGAUUCGAAAUCAAGGACUUUACAGUUCUCAUACAGAUGUCAGUUGUUCAAAGUGUUUUCCCACACUUGAACAGUGUUAGGAUAAAAUGACAAAAGACAACUGAUGAAGCUGAGGCCAAAAAAAAUAGAAAAAAAAGACUCUAUCAUCCAUAUUUAUGUUUCAAAAGAUAUUUUUAUAUAUCCUUUUGUUUAUUUUGUUAUUAACUAAUGAUGCUUGCCCAUCUAGGUGCAAUUAAAUUCUUAAAAGAUACUGCAUGGUCCUGUUUACAUAUUACAAGUUAUCUGAUAUCAAUCCAGUUCAAAGAUCUGCACUGUAUGGAUGGCCAAAUGGUUAUUGUGUCACUUUGUGUCCUAAAAUUUCUCAUGUUUCAUUUACGAAAUAAAGUUUGCAGGAGAGGCGUAUCAGAUUCUUAUCUGCAAUACUCUUUGAUCAUCUUUUGGGCCCAAGAAGAGCAGCAAAAGAGAUCCAUAAGACCUAGUCGUUCUCUUCAUUAUUCUUUUUGCUGUGUUCCAGUUGUUUCAUAUAACCACCUGAACAAUAGUAAUUAGAUUCGUAUCUGCAAACCUGCAAUACUCUUUGAUCAUCUUUUGGGCCCAAUAAGAACAGCAAAAGAGUUCAAUAAGACCUAAUCGUUCUCUUAAUUAUCCUGUUUGCUGUGUUCCAGUUGUUUCUCAUCACCACCUGAACUAUUCAUACAAUAAAAUGAUUAUAAUGUCUGAGGACCAAUUGAUAUUUUCUGAAAUUUUAACACUACGUAUUCCAAGUGAACACCUGAGAGAGUCAAAAAUAAUUCAAUUUAUUUAAUAAUAAUAACUAUUAUUAUUAUAAUAACCUACUGAAGGUAGGGUCACUGUAGUCCCCGGCGCUCCGCCCGUCGGACUUGUACACGAACGGCAGCUCCGCGACCGCCACCUCGAACAUCUCUAGCACACAGCAACUCACCCUCUCCUGCCGAUUACACCAUCGCCACCGCCCACACCGCAUCGUGCGCCUGGAAAUCGUAGGCGCUCGCCUCGGCGACGUCCGAAUCGGGAUUCGCCCGGAGGGUUUCCCCCUUCCACCGCCUCUCGAACUCCCCGGAGCCGCUCCGAUCUGGGGGCUGAUGAGCACGUGGACCUGCUCGGACUGCGGCCGAUCGACGGCUGCAACGGAAUGAGGUAAGUAUGUAGCCACUGCUCAGCUGCGGUAGUCCGCAGGUUAUGCCUUGCAUCGCGAGGGAGCGGCAAGAUAAAACACCCAGUUUCUCGAGGGUGUCACGUGAUGCAGCCAUGAAUGUAGAGCCAAUGCAAGUGCGAUGCCCCAUGCAGCUUUUUUAUUUAUUUAUUUAUUUAUUUACUGAUUUAUACCAUUCUAAUAUGGAUGCAUUCAGAAAAAUUAAAAACAACAAAUUUCGGAGCGCUCUAAGCAACUCCUCUCCAACUUAUAGAAUACCUCCAGAGUAUGAGGCUACCUAGUCCGUGGCCCGUUAGCCUCUCUGAACAUGUGAUUGGCCUGGAAAACUAUACUGCCGGUGCCACGCUAUAUCCAGCCAAUUACUAUAGCCGAAUCGCUUUUAAGCAUAAUUGCACUAGCCUGCAACACGCGUCGAGCAUGGCCCAAGCUGACCCAUGCCACCCUCAGCUCGGCCUCCGAAACUGAGGUGUCGAAAAUCCGGCAACUACCACCCUAGAGUCCGAGCUUCUGAUGAUGAAGCCAGCACCUCCCUUCCUACCACUAUCUAGCACGCAUCCAUCGAAGUUAACCUUGAGGAAACUCGAAGGUGAAGGCUUCCAAGUGAAAAACAUCAUCUGAAGCCCUAUACGAGCAAAGAAAGAGCCCCAAGUGCCCUGAACUAUCGAAAAUCCAUACGAUGGAUCUGCAUAAGUGAUCUCUGCCGCUUGUACCCAGGCACGCUCCGCAACGAACCUCGGUGAAGGGAUGCUCUCGCGAAAGGUCCAGGCAUUCUUGGCUAGCCAAAUUUGAUAAGCAAUAUAGCUCACCCCAACAGCCACCUGCCGCGUCUGGAGGGCGUCGGCGCAUCGACGAAUCGCCUGCAAGAAGGAAUGCAUGCGACUCCAUAUAUCUGGCAGGAUCUCGACGAGCCUCCAAACCCUACUAGCUCACUCACAUUGGAGCAGAGCAUGGUCUACGGUCCCAUCCACCUAGCAGUUAGGGCACUAAGUUUGAAUGCCUAUUCCCCUCACACUCAACACCAAUCUCGUCGACAACCGACUCCGAGCUACUUUCCAUUCCAUAGGAAUAAUACCAUCCUUAGGUGAAGACCAAACCUCCAUAUCCAUGCACAGUCCAGCCUUGGGCGGUGCUCACUUUGGAGGACACGUUAGAUAUUUCUCACUCUAACACUAAGCCUGCUAAACGUACUCCAAACCCUCAUGUCUGGACCGGCACACCCCGGAACCGAAAGCAACCGGACCCUCUCUUGAGAUGCUCUCCAAACAACCGACUGAUCUUGCUGGUAUCCCACUCCACCCCAUCUGGCCGGAGCAAAUCACAAACCCGAAGUCUGGCAUGAGAAAUAAAUGGGUCCAGGCCCGACAUGAUCCAACCCACAGGAUCCAACCCACACUAACUCUUGACUCGGUCCGGCCUGUCAUGAGAGAGAGAGAGAGAGAGAGAGAGAGAGAGAGAGAGAGAGAGAGAGAGAGUAGUAGUAGUAGAGAGAGAGNNNNNNNNNNNNNNNNNNNNGAGAGAGAGAGAGGUGGUUUCAAGUGAGAGAGGAGGAGAUCUAAUGAGGACCGAAAGCUAAAAAAGACAAAUAUCGUGCAUGCAAGAACUAAACGUAUCUCACAUGAACAAAAACGUACAGGGGUCUGGGUCAACCUUAGAGACGGACCGAACCAAAUGUAUCUGCUUGAAUUAGUUUGCUUCGGGUUUUAAAUAGGAUUGGAUUGGUUGUAAUUCUAAUUCUUCAACAAUUGGAUUGAGCCGGGACCGGAGCAGAUCCACAUGCAUACUGUUUAUUGGAAUGUAACUUGUGGUAUUAGAUUUAUUCCUUCGUUAUCAUUACUCAUUAGCUUUUACUUUAUGUUUUAUUUUAAAUGGAUAGAUCUGACUGAACAUUUGCCUAUGCUUAUAUUAAAUAUUUGAACAAUCUUAGUGUCAUUUAUAAUUCCCUCUCUCCUAUUUAUCUCUUUUUCUCCAUUGACUUUUUAAUAUGUAUAAGAUAGCUUUGUAGUUAUAUUGACGCAAAUGAAAUUUCUUACCUUUAUUAUUUAGUUUGUAAUUUGUAUUAGACAUAGAUUAUAACUUUAUAUUUGUCUAUUUCUUGUAUAAGUUAUUAAGUUGAUGUUGUUGGAUUUUAUUUUGUCAUACGAAACAUCUUCGAUAAUAGUACCUGUGUUACAUUUGUGAAGGCUCAAGGUAAUAUAUUGUUCCUGUACAAAAUCAAUAAUUUACUUGCCCUUUUAAAAAAAAAGAAAUAUAACCCAAGAAUCGACCUGAACCAGCCUAAUGUUGAUUGGGUUGCGUUUGGCCGGUUUCCACUAUUGAUUUGUUCAAUACUGGCUUCAAAAAUCAAGAACCGGUUACCAUCAGAUCGGUUCUUACUUCUUAGCCUGUAACCAAAGUCUGUGUUAGCAUCUAUAAGGCGGAUUUGAGUGCCAUGCACCACAUGAGAACAAAUUUCUUCAUGCUUAAAAAAAAAACAAAACAAAGAGGAUCGAUCAUAACCAGCUAUAGAGGGGAUCACAUAUUUAUAAGAAAUCUGGCCCGUAGGUUACCAGCCGCACCACUCAGAGGUUUAUUUAAACCUGAAAGAUCGCCAAAGUCACCCUCUUUUUUCCCCUGAUUUUAAUACGCCAAGACAGCCCCGGCAACGUCUGCAGUCUAAUAAGACUUUUCAAGGAAGAAUUUUGGUUGUUUGAAAUAUGUUCCCGCACAAGAAAGUAGCCUUGCUUAAAGUUUUCCAUCGGAUACUGAACACUGCCUCGGAGGCCUCGUCCUUUUUUUGCAUCAUUAGGUAUUUACUUCCUAGCAAAUUUUUCAUCUGAGCGAGCGAGAGAAAGGGAUGGUUUCGACUCACGUAUUUGAUAGCGGAUGAGAAUCCCUAAGCAUCUAAAUCUGGAGGCUCGGAAACGAAGUAUGCGAUGCUUGGUAGCAAGACAACUUUUAAAAAGAAACGAGCACCCUUAAAAAGGAAUUAAUGAGAUGGCCUAUGAUACAACCAUCCGCCAGAACAACUUUUAAAAUUCAAUAUUCUGAAUAGCCAACAAUGUCUUAUUUGCACCUAAAAAUCAGGUAAUGUACACAUCAAUUAAGAUUGUUCUACAGUUACCAGGCACCGCACCAGACAGGAUGAAACACCAAUUUGUCCAAACGCUGGCCAGGUUACCGGCUUUGACCAUGCAGUCAACCAGAUAUCCAUGAAAUAAGGAACAGGAACCUUUUGGCUAGUUUCUAGUUGAUCAGUUGUUGAUAAUACUGGAACCACCUUGGAAUCUGAGCUAAAAUCUAUCAUCUAAGGAAGGAGCCAUACCUGAGCUAGAAUUCCAUCAUCCGAGGGCAUGUAUGUUUAACUUGCACCUAAGUGCAUGAAAUUAUAAACAGCAAGCUCUGACUGCCCCCAGGUACUACCAUUUUUGUAUGGCGCUUCAUCAUCUGUAAAAGAAAUCCUGCAUAUAGAUCACACCGGCAAAUCUUUCCAAUUUUGGCUUUAUGCUUAGCCUGGAGGUAAGAACAUACUGAUCAGUUUCAUGCUAAACAGAAGCAUGGACGGAUGAACUGGUGAAUAUGAAUUGAUGAUAAUGCUCCACGCUCGAACUAUAAAUAUGCCAUGAAAUGACAUGAGUUUGAGCAUUAUCCUCCAAUGUAGUGGUAUUGAGAGGGUAAGGUGCCAUUUGAAGAUCAAGUUCUAAGGCUGAUGCAAGCAUGGCAAAUUUCCAGCAUAUGGUAUAUAAUAAAUCGAACAAUAUUGCAUCUUUCAACUGCAUAUAUAGAUCAAAUUCAAAGGGUACUAAUUAAUCCAUGUCAAUGACGUCAAUGCACAUCUAAUAACAGAUCACGAUGUCCCUUUCAAGUGCAUAUAGUUAAGGUAAGAAAACACUAGUUAACUAUGCUGAUGAUGCCAAUGCACAUUUAAUAACCGAUCAUGAUGCCCCAAGAGUCUUCAACUCAUGGAAGAUGGUAAUGACACUCAUUAUAACAGGUGCAUUCAGUCAAGGAUGCUGAUGAUGACUUAUGAUGUGAGUGCAACAGCAUAAUUUUCAUGAUGGGAUCCAUUCCUAUUUUGUUAUCUUCAUGAGGGAAGCUUAAGGAGCAAGAUACAUCCCUUCGAGUUACUGCUGGUAGGUAGUAGGAGCUCCGUUGUGCUCAGCUGCAGACCCAUUGACUGAAUCCUUCCUCCGUCCAAAAGGGUUCUUUGAAAAUGUAUGAACAGUCAAGAAAACACAACGUAAUAAUAAAUUCGACAGUCAGGGCUUAUAUAGUUCAACAGUAAAAUUGUUAAAAGCGAUGUAGAAAUGCAUUGGGCCGUAAUCAUACAAAAUGAAUCUUCACAUCUUCUUGAAGGGUAGUCAUCAACGUACUUUUACAGACAAGAAAAGACAUGAGCAUGAAUGCCAACAUCCUAGAAUCAGAAUUUUGAUUCUUAAAAUGUCAAAUGACAAGUCCUAUGAACUUGGGGAAACAAAAGUUAACCAAAAAAGGUGUCCGAUGUAAUAAAGUUACAAAUAUGACAAUUAAGGAUGAGGGACAUAAUGUGGCUGAUACACUUCUAAAUAUUCUAGCAUGUCUUACGAGAAACAUUUUAUGGGUGCAAUUGGUUGGGUUCACCCAACUUGACCAACAGAACGGGCAAAAUUUGGUGGCUUCAUAGGUAAUAAAGCUAACCAUAUAAGACCAAAUGCAAGUGGGCACUGUCUUAAAGAGCAUCUGGGACAACAGCCAAAGCACCCCCCACCUUAGGCAGAGCGGCAAUUAAGGUCCUUGCCUGUGGCUUGGGUGGUCUGUACCAAUAUAGGUGGCUCAAUCUAUGGGUAGAUGCCUAUGCAGCUGCUAUGUUUACAGGUGCCAGAGGUGGACACCUCAGAUGGGUCAAGCACCGCAUAACCUGAUACCUGCCCUGUUGGAAUUUAAAAUUUUACCCUUCCCCACCACAUGCCCCUCUACUUCUUCAAACAGAAGUUAUUGCCAAAUCGGAUAUGAAGCAAUGCCGACGCUGUUCACCUCUAUACCACUUAUACUGUUUCAAACCACUACAAGGGGGUAAUAACAGCAAAGUAAACCUUUUCUUUGAUGUCAAGCCACGUUCGGAAUUACAUUUUAUCCCAUUAUUGACCGUCAAUGGUUAUAACAGCCAUUAUUUUCCUUAAAAAAAUUAUCAAAGUUUUAAUAUUAAAAUAAUCGCUAAAAUAACGGCCAUUAUAAUGGUUUUAUAAUGGAAAUAAUGUAAACAAUAAUGGCAUUAUUUUUCCUUUAUUUUUUAUUAGAUAAAAUAUUAAUAUAUUUUGGACCAUAAAAUAAUUUUUGGAGGGAAUUUUGAGAAAGGAAUAUUUGAAUUUUGAAAAGUAUUAUUUUAGAAGAUACAACCGAAAGAAAUGGCCGUUACUAAUGUUAUAAUGGUCUGUUGUAACAGAAAAUAACAGCCGUUAUCUUUUCCCAUGUUAACGGGGUUGCCCAAACCUGUUAUAAAAUCGUUAUCACAGUUAAAACACCAUUAUAUAAAACCAUGAUGUCAAGUGGAACAAUCAGAGAACAAAAUGAAAUGCAAACUCUUUAUCUAUAGCAAUGUAAAUAUUAAUAACUGAAACUUUUAAUUUGACAUCAAAUGGAAACCAAAUAACAAAAUGAAAUGCAAAAUUUUUUCUAUAGUAAUGUGAAUAUUAAUAAUCAACUCAUAAAUCAGCAAGCCAACUCAGACUCUAAACCAAAGCAAAAUCAGAUAUAAGGUGUUAAAUGCAAGCCCUUCAAGUGAUGCGGAUCUGAUCAGGAUUGAGCAAAUCAAUGAUAUUGUAGGGUCUAAAAUUUAUACAUAGAUAAAAGCAAUGAAAUUAAAUAAGUCAAGAUGUCACACGAAAAUCAGUGAAAGGCGAAAAGUUAUGCUCCAAAAGGUCAUCAUCUCCAAUUGCAGGCCCAAUCCUCAAGCCCAAAUAGAAAAAGAAAGAGCUAGAGACAAAGAAUCGAGAGAGAACGAGAAGCAACAGCCAUUAUUCAUCCUAAUUGCACCCUUCUCUUCUCAAUUCAUAGUUUUCAACAUGAUAAGGCUACUAAAUAGUCCACCAUUUAUUAGGACCUUAGUUACCAGAAGCGCAGGUCUCUUAAAAAAAAUAUAAGAAAACACUUAAAGAAACAGGUAAGGGACAAGUUCCUAAGGAGAUUCGGAAGCAAAUCUUCCACCCUAAAUGGAACAUUCCUGCUACCAAGAUUUGAAAACAACUAGCCUUUCUCCCUAAAAAAGAGAAAGAAUCAAAAUAAGAUUUAAUGACAUUUUCAAGCCUUCCCUACUAGAACAUAUAUGUGACAUUAUAAUAACAGAAGAAUUUGUAUAUUUAAUGAAACUGAUACGGAAAGCCAUUAAAACUGAUUUUAAGCACCAUCUUAAUAGUGUAAAACCUUUCCUACCCAACACCAGAUCUAUAAUAGGAUAUAUAGAAAAUUAUAGAAAAUUAUCCUACUGAAAAUAUCCAAAGGCCCCACAAAAGAUAUAGCCAAAAUGUAGUACGAAAGAAAAAAAGAUGCAAAUAAUAUCAUAAGGCCUAAUCCCUAAUUACCUAUAGAGCCAAAUUGCUCUCUUUGAUACAUAGGAGCUCUUUAAGUGUGCAAAAAUAGGGCAUAUCUAAUAAUUUAUAUUUUACGACCAUCAAAUCGACAAAUUGGAUUAAAAGAUCACCAGGAGGUCUCAAUAUUCACUGAAAAAGGAUAUUGUAUUCGCAUGCCACCGCGACCAGAGCUAGGAAGAACAGCACCCUGCAGAUUCUGGUGAACAGUUGUAGCACCAUUCACAUCCUGCACAGAUAGUUCAAUUUUUAAAUAAAUUAAAUACAAAACCAUAAUCAUGCUCAAAGCAAUAUACUUGAUUAAAAUGUGAGAUCAAAAGAAUGCAAUUUUUAAUACUACUCACAUCAAACUCAAUGAAGCAAACAGUAUUUCUCUCCUGACGCAAGAUCUUCAUUUGUUUGUAACCAGGUUGCCUGCAUGAAAUAAAGCAGAGUAAGCAAAAAAAAAUCUAAAAAGAACGAUUUUGUGAGUAAGCAAUGCCCAAUAAGGGAAUUAAACUUAAUAUAUAUGGAAAAGAUAUCAUUCUCACUCUUAACGAUAAACAGCCAUCAUUUUUGUGUGUGUGUGUGCAAUGUCAAGGUCAAGAUUCAUACACACUAAAAAUGCCCCUAAGUUCUUCCUCAUUUACGUUCUCGCCCAGAUUGCCAAUAAAAAGUGUAUUGCAUGGAGGAUUGUCUUUUGUAUUCUGCAAAACAAAGACAAAACAGUAACAGUAGUGUAAAUGUGAUGAUUGAAGCAUUAUCUAGUGAUAAGCUUGCCAAGUGAAAAUAAAAAGAGACCAAAAUAAAAUGCAACUUUAGUAAUAACGACAUAUGGCUGUGUUUGGUUGUGAAAUCAGUUAACCUGGAUGCAUGGGUUAAUUUGCUCUCUCUUUGGUGAAAAAAGUAGCUCUGCCAACUUUUCAAAAUACCGACUUUACCCUCAGAAUUAAUUGGUUACUAGCAUUUGCCAGGUUAAAGUAGAAUAAGUGGAGUAAACGGGACCUUUUCCAUUUAGUCCUCCUUCAACCCAUAGCCAAACACAACCUAAGUUAUUAAGAGAUGCUCUAUCGAGCUCCAAAUUAAGAAUUAAUAUUAUGAGGCUUUAAUAACUAUGAAAGCAUAAGUGAUUCCUAUCAGUGAACAUGAAGAACUAAUGUACUGUUAAAUGCAUUGGUAUGCUAUUUAUGUAUUGACUUUACAUCACACAGGUUCUGUACUCACAUCACAUUUUAAAUGUUAUUCACAGCAACUGCUUUAACAAGUCCUUGUUCUAUGCACAUUUAUUAAUACAUUGGCAUGCCUAAUAUAGGCUUAAUAGAUUAACCAAACUCAUAAAACUCCUAAACUCCAUAUGUUGUUCCUAUAAUAAAGGAUUCAAAAGUAUCAAUUAUUUUUUACUAUAUAAUGCUUGAUUUCUAUGAAAGAUCAAAAUUUACACUCCAUAUGUUGUUCCUAUAUUAAAGGACUCGAAAGUAUCAAUUAUUUUUUUACUAUAUAAGGCUUGAUUUCUAUGAAAGAUCAAAAUUUAUAUGUUUGCCUUUUAUGUCCCAUAUGAUGUUCCAGAAAAUUUGAACCAUUAGCAUGAUGGGUCAAAUAACUAUCACCCCUAUACUUAAAUCCCAUAGUUUGCCCCUGCAUUAUCCUAUGUCUUCAUAUAUAACUAUUACACAAACCACAAAGACCCACGCUAUGAUCACACAAACACAGAUAGAAAGUUUUCAAAUCUUUUGGACAACGUCAAUGCUUAAGACCUCAUCUGGGUUCCCGUUGUCCUUGCCAUACUUUCCAUGUACCGUGAUGAUCAGUUGGCAAUAAAUACCUCCUCCUGUUGAGCAGGGCUUCAGAUUCGUUAGGAAACAGAUGGCUAGCAAAUUUUUCGUUGGAAAAGGCCUUGAAAUAUUUCCAGCAUUUCUGUGAUCAGUUCCAUCGUCUAUCAAGGCCUGGUAAAUCAUCCCCAUAGUCAUAAUUUUCCUAUUUCCACAACAACUACCUCAGGACUCAAUACCUUCCAGCAAGUACAUACUUUAAAACUUCUACACUUAUACCAAUUUAACGCAGCACGAGAGACUAUUAGUAUAAAAGAUGGAAAAUAACUGAAAGUAAUGAAAAUAGAUUAUGGACUUGAUGUAUAUCAGCAUAAAAAUACAAACAAGAUGCAUCAUGUAUGUGCAGGGUCAGCUACACAGAUCCUACUUCACUGAUAAAGAUAGUCUAUACAAAUAAUUAAUGAAUGCCCCUGUCCAAUUUUUACCAAUCACGUCAUCUUCUUUUUCAAUCUUUCAACAAACAUGCAAAAAUUACUGUUUAUAGUGGUCAUCCUUUGCUCAUAGUGCACAUCUAAGUCAUGUCAAAAGUCCACACUUGUUUUAUCUUUCUGCCAUUGAUACUCUAAAACUUCAUCUAGUAAACUCAUAUAUGGCUGUAUUCUUCUAGUUUUGCCCUUAGUAGCUGGAACCUUCUCUCCAGGGUAAAUGCACUUACUUCAAAAUAUUCUAGGUUCUCGAAUUCAUAUCCGCUUCUUUGCUAAAAGUGUUUCUAAAAUAUCCUCUUCCCGUACCCACUCCGCACACGCGCUUGAUUUUGGCAACUAAGAUUUUACCAUAUGUUUCCAUCUUUGUUGCCAUAACCUUAUGCUGAUUGGCAUCCUCCUAGCCAAUGUUUUGUUCAUCACAAGAAAAAUGGUUAAACUUUUGUAUUGUAAGCUUUUCCCUUAAGGUCUGAAAGGUAGCAUAUAGUGCAUAUCACAACAAAAAAAAGCAUAUUCAAUGCAUCCACUUUGAUUUGAGCUUCUUGGAAAAUCAUUUAUAUUCUUCAUUUUUCAAGGAUAAAUAUAAUGUUGCAUGAUCGAUUGAUGGGGAAAUUGUCCGUUCCUUGAUCCUAUUGCAUUAGAUAGGUAUCUUAAUGAUUGCAGGAAAGCCAUUGGUAAGAAGAACCAUGUGCCUAACUUUUAAGAAUCUCUUGCAUAUGUUCAUAUUGCUUCAAUUUUGGUUUUCAAUUAAAACUUGACCACUAUUCAUUGAUUGGUUAGAAAUAGUUGUUUAGCUCAAAAUCAAGCAACUUGGCUUGAUUGGAUCUUGAACAUUUUAAGGGUUUAGAUAUGUUUUUAACUUUAUCUCCUAAUUUAUAGCUCUUUGAUGAUAUCUUCUAGAUUGUCUUUGUCAAAAGUAACAUCAACAAGCAUUGUAUUUAAGCCACAAGAGCAUAAGGACUCCCAAAUGGAUGUAAGCAAACUAGUGUUAAAAGCUGAUCACUAAUUGUUGAACCUGUUCAAAGCCUGCAACCACCAAAAAAAGGCAGUAUUUCUAUAAAAUAUGUGUCCUCAUUGUUGCUCCUGCAUGUCUCUCUAAGGCCCUGUUUGAGGGAGCUUUUGAAGGGCCAAAAGACACUUUCUGGCUCUCCAAAAGCACUUUCAGAUAAAAUAGAGAUGUUUGAUAAAAAUUUCGAAAAGUUGUUUUAGCUUUAGCUUUUUUGGGAGAAGCUCCAUGUUGGAGUUUUCCGGAAAAACACUUUUAGGUUCGAUUGGAGAGCUAUUUUUUACCCAAAAUACCCGUAAUAAAAUAUAACAAUUAAACAAAAUGCCCCUUUAAUAAUUGUUUAACCAAUUUUAUCACAUAGCUAGAAAUUUUAUUACAUUAUGAAAAAUUAAUUUACACUAAUAAUUAUAAUAUUUUAUAUCUUUAUUAUUAUAUUAUACUAUAAAUAUAAUAUUAUAUUACAUUAUAUCAUAAUACAUUGAAAUGUUAUGUUAAAUAAUUUAAUAUUAUAUUAAAUUAUUAUGCUAUAGGAUACAAUAUUAUAUUACUAUAUUAUAAUAAUAUUAUAUUACAUUACAGUAAUAUUAUCCUAUAUCAUAUAUAUAUAUAUAUAUAUAUAUAUAUAUGUAUUAAUACAUAUUAUUUUUUUUAUGCUCUAUUGUAUAAUAUUAUGCAAUGUCUUUUAUAGUUAUUUUGUCAUAAAAAAGUGCUUUGUUAUUUUGUUUACCAAACACAUGUUAAAAUGGCACAACACUUUAAAAAUGCAGUUAUCAAAUAGCAAACAGCUUUUUAUAAAAGCUCUACUUCCAAAAGUUCUACUGCCAACAGCUCCUCCAAACGGGGGCCUAAGCAUAGAACUUUUUUCUGAGAAAUAGAGUGGGGAUGCCACCACCAAAGUUUAAACCAUGGACAUCUGGUUUUGUCAAGAAAAAUGUCAACCAGCUAAACUACGGCCACUUGGAAUCAAACAUCAUCUUGAAAACUCAUAGCCUAUUAUAAAUGCCUUCCAUAUCAAUAAAAUUAUUUCUACUUCCUCCUCACCAAAUAUUUCUGCAAUUGAGAAGCAAAUGUAGCUAUCUAAUUGAACUUCCUAGUAUAAGGCCAAAGUUGUCUUUAAAAAUCCAUAUUGCUCUAGGACUUUACAUCUUAUUUUUUCCAACAAUAUCAUUGAACUUUGCUUUACAGAUGACUUUAAGGCCUACCUGGUUGGCCCCGAAAGUGACUCCCGGAACUUUCUGAAAACCGACUCCAGGGAGUUGGUGAGUUUGGAAAUGAAAGUGGCCGCUAGGAAGCUACUACCCAGCCUACUCCUGGCCUUUUAAACUAGAUUCAUGACUUCGGACCCCUCCACCUCUUAAACAUGGGCACAAGCGUCCACCUCCCAACCUCACUCUCCCCUGGGGCAAUUCGAUCACCUCCAAGCAAGCCCUCACGACCCCCUCUCUCCCAGCCCCCAAAUGGUGGUCAAAUGGUGGUCUCUCCAACAUUUCUAUCCUUUCUCGUGGUGAUGUUUCCAUGGUCACUAAUUCAUUGGAUCGAGCAUUGGGAGUCAAGGCAUGGUUACUUCAUUCUUAGAUCUCAGGCGGUUUUCUCUAGUUACUCUUUUUCCAUUGAUUUCUUUUAUUUUUGGUCGAUUUCGUUGCAUUCUUUUACUUUUUGUUAUGAUUGUUAAUAUAGGGUUUGCGAUCUUGGAAUCAUAGAUUAUAAUCAGAUCUGCUAGUUUUGAAAUGAUCAUUUUUAUUAUUUUUUGAAAUUUUUUGACUUUUCGAGAAACUUGUUAAGUAGAUCCAUUGUGUUGUGAGGUAAACAGGUUGUUUCUUGGGUGCUGAGGGUUUAGCAUUCCAGCAAUUUUAGAUCUUUUCUUUAGCAAAAGAAAUCGAAGUCAUUCAGUGAAGAGAUUUAUGGUUGAGCAUUGGCUCUAUGAUUUGCCCUUUUUUGAAAGAAACUUUCAUUGGUUUUAUUUUGUCUAAUCAAAAGGACUGUGUGCUUGCUCUUCUUGGUUGCAAUUUACAUUUUGUUGGAUAUUUUCGUCUUGAUUUUGUGAUUGCUUUCUGUGGGGAGGGAGUUCUCCAGCUAGGUUAGCAAUGAAUUUGGCUAGCCAAGGUUCAUGGAGAGGUUUGAAGAGAGGGCAGAAUAUGGGUUAGUGCAAUGGGAGGGUCUUGGAAUGUCUUGCAAAUAUCAUGGAAUAGUUUUCCAUGAAGCAUGUUGUAGCGUUAUUACUAUCUUGACACUUUACAGGUCAGAAAAUCUUUUUUUCUUUGGUCCAUGCAUGUCUACCACUUUCUUGGAUUAUGUGAAGAGAGGCCAUUAUAAGCUGCUUUCUUACAAAUUGUGAAUGGCAAAAUUAGAAUGAAGCACAUAGGUCCUACAUUUUCUUGCAAAAAAGUAACUUUUCGCCAUGAGAAUUAAGUAUAAUCAGCUAUAGUUUAUUAGAGGUUGACUAUGAAAAAGAUAAGGUUGCUUUUUGCAUGAUGUUAAUGAGCUUUGACAUGAUAUGGCAAACUAAGAAAUGAAAACCUAAGGAAAUGAAUUUGAUGUAUACAUCCACAUUGUAUAGCAAAAUUUUCCCCUAGCAAUAACUUAGUCUUUUUUUUACAAAACUAAUUUUUUCCAUCGAUGAUGGAUUUUAUAUCUUGCCUUGGGGUCACUAUUUGGCUAUUAUAGUUGAUCACAGGUUCAUUGUAUGAUUGCUAUCAUGAUUUUUUUUGUGAUGGAUUACAUCAUUUGGAUAUGGUUCAGUUUUUCUAUUUGCUCACAAGUUACUAUGACAGUUGUGACAUGAUCUUCAAUGCCUUAUUCGCAAGUUUGUCAAUCACCCCUACGUGGUUGCAACUUGGAGGGCCACAUAUACGGCAACUAUUGCAGCUAUCUAUCUUGAUGAUAUCAUUUUUUCACAAGAACCCUACAAGUUUGCUAUAUAUCUUGAUUUAAUCAUGCUUGUUCACAGGUUCCUUGCGAGAUUGAUGCACAUCUUGACUUUAUCAUGCCUGUUCACAGGUUCCUUGUAAUGUUUCUAUGUUAAUUUUAUAUGUGAUGGAUUAUAUGGUUUGGAUCUGGUUCGAUUUUGCCAUUUCAUAGGUUACUAAGAUGUCCGUUUUUAAUGAUGUCCAAUGUCUUCUUCUUUGUCGACCACCCCUACACGGUCGCCACUUGGAUGGCCACAUAUAUGGCAACUGUUGCAAUCACCAUCUAUGGGGUAAUGAUGCGCAGAGUGGCUUGGAGACAAUUGCUAGGAGGAAUCUAGAUGCCAUAUGUGGCAACCAUUGCAAUCAUCAUCUAUGGGACAAUGAUGCAUAGAGUGGCUUCGAGAUAAUUAAUAGGAGGAAGUCGGAUUUUUUGCCAUCAAUAUUGAUGAUGAGAAGCACUCAUAGUCUGAGACCAUCCAAUCCACAUGAUCCCCCAUAUCUUACCACUUGUUUUUUAUUUCACAUAUCUUACUUCUUGUCUUUUAUUUUUACUUAUUUUUUGGUUUGCACAAGAGAUGAGAGACCAAGGACUAUGGUUGCUGCACUACGAAGCAAUAAACAAUAUACUUGAUAUGUUUUCUCAAUCAUUUUUACUAUUAUGUAUGGAUUUUUGGCGUCUAAAUUUGUGAAAUAGCCAUGUACUGAGCAAGGGAUUUUGGAGGUUUAGUCUGGAUGCACCACCCCCUCCCACUUUUUCCCAUGUAACAUGGACUGCUAAAAGUUUGCUCAUGACUCCAUGGAUGAAAACCUAGGAAAAGUACAAAAUAUAUAAAAAUAAUUAUUAAUAAAGUAAUUUUUUAUUCAAUAAUUGAUAUUAAAUUUGGUAAGAAAAAUAGUUUAGGUUAUUAUUGAAGAUGACUAGUAGUUUGGAUAUUGAAAACCAAUAUAAGCCAUUAGUUAAAAGGUAAAAAUUGAAUUAAUAAUAAAAUAAAAUUAUUUUAUUAAGAAACAUAUGAUUAUUUCUACAAAAUCUUCAAAUAUUAUAUGUUCCCGUUAUAUAAGCUAAGUAAUAUUAUUUAAUAUUGACAGAAUAAAAAUAAUAUGACAAUAAUAAUUAAUUUGUUCAACACAUGCCCAUACUUAUAUACAUUAAGUAACAUAUAAUAUCACUCAAGUAUUAUGAAAAUAAUUGAUAAUAUAAUAAUAAUGUUUUAGUCUAUCAAUAUGUGCUCUAUAACAUAUAUUUUAUUCAUUUUAUCAAUAAAAAGGAUAUAUUUCCUAAAAGGACAUUUUACCACCCACUUCUUGGGUGAUGAUAUCUCCCCACUUUCAGACCAACCAAACAUCCAAAGUGAUUUGACGCAACUUACUAUACCGCACAUAUAAAACGAUUUCACCACCAACAAUCCUUACUUUCCUAACAAACCAUACAGCAAACGCACUCACUUUCAGAAAGAGCACUUUCCAAAAACGUCACUUUCAGAAGUGCCUCAAAGUCUCCUCCAAUCCACUUGUGCAACCAAACAGGCCCUUAGCCAAAAUGUUACAUUGUAGACUACUCCAAUGUAAGCAAACUAUAAAUAUGACAAAUAACUCAAUCACCUAUAUCCAGCAAUCUAGAACUUCCAGAAUGGCCAUCAACAACCCAAUACUUCAUAAUCCUAAAUCAAACGGUUGGAUCAUCAAUUGAUUGUGAUG